rnacentral:lncRNA from 1 species
UACGCCAGUGCUGCCAAGAUCAGUUUCUACGUCAAAGGGAAGAUGGAGACAUUUUUCUUCAAGAACAAGACUACACAAAUUCAAGAUCAAUCCAGACGUAAAUCAAGGAAGAGGACCAAUAGGAGAAACAGGAACAAGCAAGUGUGGACCGAGUCAGCUAGGAUGGUCACUGUAGUCCAUGGAGGCCAAGAUCAUCAACUUAAGUCACCGUUUUUGACCAAGAAGGACGACCCAGGAAUGCCAAGCAUUUACUACUCCAUAAAUGGAUCUAGCUUCUACAAGACGAUUUGCGACACCGGAUCGGGCGUCAACAUAAUGGCCGCAGUCACCUAUCGGCUCUUGUUCGGAACCAUGCCACUAAGACCAACAUACAUUCAUCUCCAGAUUGUAGAUCAGACAUUUCGAGAAGUCAAAGGAACAGUAACUGAUGUCCCAGUCAAAAUAGACGAUCACUUUGUCUACACAGACUUUCAAGUUGUUGACAUGGGAGAAGAUGAGUAUGAUCCACCCAUCAUCCUUGGAAGACCGUUCCUCAGCACUGUUAAAGCAAUUAUCUACAUUGGAACCGGAGAAGUCUAUAUGCACUUUCCCUCAGAGAAGGUACGCCGUUAUUUUACUGACCCUAACUAUAUCAUUGAAGAAUCCAAGCAGGUAAGAAAGAGACGCAACCGCAACCAGAGGAGCCAGAUCAUCAAGGACGGAUGGGCAGACUAUGAAGGAGAAGUUGUAAGAUCAGAAGACGUAGAGUUUAAACAAAAUUAUCCAAAGGAGAUUGAAGCACCGAGUCAGGUAUGGAAAAUGAAGAUAACUAUACAAGAAGAGGAGGCGCUGCCGGAAGUACCGACUACGCCACCCAACGAACCUCAGGACGAUUGAGAAAACGGAGAGUCCCGUUCGGAGGACUUAAAAACACCGAACGCCUUGCCAAGAGGUAAACUUGGUAGUUAUCCUUUCCCUUUCAAUUAUUUCAAAUAGUUUACUUAGUUAAUCAUGUUCGUAUUAUCCUAGAAAGAAAAUAAAAAUAUGAAAAACUGUAAGCCCCAUGUGAGUAGACGAGUGGCAUAAAACCCAUAAGUACAUUCACUGUGGUGGCAUAAAAAUAAAAUAAAUAUUUUUCUGCUUUAUAAAAAUGAAAAUAUAAAAACAGGGUGUAAUAUUUACUAAGGAGUCUCAACAUGAUAAAGGCUAGAUAUUUAUGCUAACACUUAACCAGUUCCACAAGCUUUGUUGUCUAUUUGAACUCCACAGAAUUUAAGAAUCAAGAAGACUGGCAGACGGAGGACAUUCUAAUCGCUGUCAGAAUGCUGCUGACUUUCAAAUACACCUCUACCACCUGCUAGCUACAUCAAGAGAAAUUACGUCAAAAUUCAGCUUGGGGGAGAGCACCCCCAUUUAUCACGAUAAGUAUUUCUAUCUAUCUAUCUUUAUACUUAUAUUAUUUUAGAAUAUAAAUAUACAUAACUAUGGAAAACCAAAUAAAGAUUUUAUGCUUAUAUAUAUUUGUCUUUUGCUUAGUGUGUUUAAUAAAUAAAUAAAGUGGCUAUGCUAAUCUAUAUCUAAAUAAAACUCAAGCAUGGAUAUGAUGAAUAGUUGCUCUGCCUAAUUUGCAUAUUUUAAGUUCUCUCUCAAGUUUAGAUAUAACUGUUAUAAUUUAAAGCUUGCUCUAGACCUAAACUUAUGGGAUGAAAACUUGAUCUGAAGUCUAAAUUGUUAACGGAUAUGAUAUGGGAAGGUUGAGCUGCUGUUUAUCUGUUCCUAGAGAUGCUAGAAUUCUAGAGAAUUUUAUCUUUGAAAAUCUUUAAAAUGUUGCAUGAUGAGUUCCUGUAUGAUGAGAGUUUAAAUUCCUACCACAGCCAUAUAUACAUGCUUGCUAGACUUUGAGCCACACAUUUAAUAUUUACUGCUUAUGAGCAUUGAGUGUGGUCAAGCUGUGUAGACCCUUAGGAGCUUGUCAUGUGGUUAAAUCAAGAUUCACUUGCACGUUCACUCAUAUAUGCUACUUCUACUCCGGAAGUACCAUCCACAUAUAUCCAUCCAUUUCCAUCUCCAAAAUCACCCAAAAAUAUUCUACUCCUAAUCCGGGAGAGAAUAACCAAAAAUAUUUCUGUUUUCCCCUUGUCAAAUAAAUGCUCAAGUUAUCUUGUUACUACCACUUGCUAUAUUAUCUCAAGAGAUGAAUGCUCUGAAAAAAAAAGAAGAAGAAAAAAAAUAAUAAAUACGAGGAAAUAAAAAGGAGCAAGUGCUCGGAACCUCAAAAGAAUAGAAAAAGUGAGACGAGAGGUAAAAAUGGACAAGUGUCCGACAUUAGAAUUAGAGGUACAAGAUACCCACCUGAGAGACAAGAAAAAGAAGAGCAUCUCCUUCUCCUCAUAAAGUUUCAAAAGCAAGGAAGGUAUGUAUCCCCUCAAAGAGCAAAGUAGAAUUAGACUUCCACCACCAUUGUUUUCACCAUUGUUAUUACCAUCAUCACCAUACACCAUUCAUUCGCCACACAUGCACAUCUUGAUUUGGCUUAUUGAUUUGUUUCUUUGGAUCCAUGGUUUGACUAUGCAAUAAAUGUCUUGUAAGUAUGUAUAUUUUAUCUCCCACCUAUGAGCUCCAGAUAUUAAAGCCUUAUUAGAGUAGGGUGAAAGAGAGGGCAAUGUCACUAUGCCUCAUACCACAAAUACCACAUAUCUUGAGAGAAGGCAUAUACCAUCACUGCCUUGGUAAGGAUCCAGAAAUACCACAAAAGAGAGAUCUGAGAGAAUCAUACAAGGAAUUUCUGAGUUUUAUUUGAAAAUCUACAAAAACCCUAGAGCUAUAGCUGAUCAAGAAUAAGAGACAUGGCACUUGGCUAGACUGUUCUAUCUUUUAACCACUCAAGACAGAAGUGACGGUUACAAGUCCCAUGGUGAAGGUAAAGUAAGUAAGUUUUAAGUCUUGACAGUUUACUCUAACUCAGAGAUGAGAUCUUAUUUAAAAAGCAUGUGUACCGUCAAUUUUUUAAGAUAUUGCAACAACUUAUGAUCCAUAGCUGAGUCUAUCCUCGCUCAGGGAUGAGCAAGAGGUAAGCUUGGGGGAGUUUGUUGACGGUCCUUAAGUAUCAAAUUUAAUUAUCAAAUAAAUAAAGAAAAGGAUCCAAAUGAAAUCAACAUCUAGACUUAGGGUUUUAUCUGACAGAAUUCCAUGAGUUUUGGUGUUUGUCUAUUUCUGCAGGGGGUUAUCAGGAAAUAUGGAAGAAAGGCCCACAUGUCGGGAUUACGUAAAGAUAUUAACGUGCUGCGCAAUUAUCUUACAUCUAGAAGACUCCAGAAGCCACGAGACCAAAGCGGAGGCGAAACGGGGCCAGAGGCAGGGCGCCCGCCCUCCUGCCCUGGGCACCCGCCCCCUCCCUGAGUCCAAUCAGGACUCUGCUUCGUGGGAGAUCUCCACCGACCUAAAGCAUGAAUCUAAACCAUACAAUCUAUGUCAGUUUGAUCCAAUGGCCCAUAUUCACUUGUAGGGACUAUAAAACCAGACCCCCUGGCCCCUGGAGGAGAGAGCCUCUCAACCCUAAUUCAUUGUUCCAUCAAGGGAGAAGAAGCCUCUGAUCAAGAUUAGAGCCACCACAUCAAUUAGAUAUCUAGAUUAGCAUAGCUACAUAGGAUUAGAACUAGAAGGAGUCAAUCUUCGAUUGGUUUCCGGAUCUGUCAGGAGGAUUCUUGGUAAUUCUCUAAUUGUGCUUCUAAUUGCUUUCUAAUUAUCUUUGUUCUUCAAUAUUAUGAAUAUGACUUUGUUCUACUUCAAUAUAUUGCUUAUGACUUUGCUCUACUUGCUUAUAUUCAAGAUUAUAUUGUUCUUAGUUUAUCAUAGUUAUGUACUUGGCUUAGUUAGAUUCGAUCUAUAUACAUGCUUAGGAUCGUAUAGCGUUUAUCCAUCGGAUCCAUGGGUAAAUGAUAGAUAUUGUGUAGGCAUGGUGCUUAUACCGUAUUUAUCUGCGAUUGUACCCAAUAUGCCAGAUCGUGGGGUGGUUCGUGAUAGUGACAACUUCAUUGAUUCUUAUAUAGUCCCCCUCUCGUGUAUUGGGCUGGCAGAGCAACAUUAUUACAGGGAAGUGAUUGCUAUGUUUCUCAUUUACCUUGCUAAUAUCACUAUGCAUGGGCGUAGUCUUGUCUCGUAAUGAUUGCUAAGUAUGCCUGCACUAACUAUGAUAAUGCUAGACUAUAUAGUUAAGAAUAACUUAGGGAAUAUUCUUGUAGUUCGUUCUAAUACCAUGCUAAUGACUUUCUAGAGUAUCUAAUUGAGGUGCUUAUCAUAUUUAUUAUGUGGCUAGAUCAGAUUAGUUAUCCUUAUCACUAUUAUUAUUUCAUAUAUAUCUUUUAUGUGACACUUAUCCUUGUAUGAAGAGUUAGAUAUAAUGUUCUCAAUUAUACAUGCAAUGAUAGAUGCUAAAUCUCGUAUUCUAUUCUGUAAUCAAUAGUGAUGAUUGCUAAUCCCUUCCCAGUGGUAAAAAUAUAAAUAACGAUACCUGGAAUACUUCCCGGUUAAAAUGCUGCAUCGGUAUUAAUCUGUGCGCUUGUAGAUCCCAUUCAUUAUUUAUUUAGAAGAGCAAUUGCAUAUUUCAAUACCGCGUCUCUCAUGUCAUGCUGGGGAUGACAACUUGGCUUAAGUGGUGUGAGGGAUAGGUUUGGCAUUUUUGGCACCGUUACUAGAUUUAGAGAACUUAGUCUACUUUUGGUGAUGAUGUUAAGAAUACCCAACAAUCGGCGACAUCAAUUUAUGCGGAACGGCCACUCCCCCCGACCAGCCGGGUUCAGACAGGUCGGCCAGGGAGCUGUCGGGCGCGUCCAUUGUGGGAGAUGGACGGUCAACGCCUGCGGUCUCGACCAGCCAGGCGCCGGUGGACCCGACCCCUUCGUCCGAGCAGCAAGGCCAGGCGGGUGAUCAGCCCGAGCAGUAGGCCAUUAGGAUAGUCUGUAGGAGUAGACUAGUGUCCGCCCGUCAGGGUGUUUAUUGUAAACUUUGUAUGUAAAGUUUGUAAUAAAGUUUGCUUUUGUCAUGACUACUAUUUUGAGCGCUGUGAAGUUAUGUGAGUGACGUGUCACUGUGUUUGAUUCGUGGUCAUUAAGAUUUUCCGUCGCAGAGGAAAAUGUUGCUCUUCGCCGACUAGCUCUGCGUGUAAACAAAGUAUAGCCAAAAAAGAAAAAACUUUUAUUAUUGCCAACUAUAAGAGACUUACAGGCAAAAGUUUCUGGAACUUAUGGGUAAAAUCGGCGCAGUUUGUCUAUGUGCCAAGAGUUAGGCACGCGUGUUCCGUCUGGAUACGCCAAUCUGUAGGAUGUGGGUCGUGUGACUUCGGCGACCAUGAAGGGUCCCUCCUAGGGAGUGGAUAGCUUGUGCAUUCCUUCCUGGCUUGUUUUCCACCUGAGUACCAGAUCGCCGACCACGAAAGAACGGUCCUUGACGUUCCUGUUAUGGUACCGCCUGACUGCCGCAAGAUACUUUGCUGUUCGGAGACAAGAAUUUAGACGCUUUUCCUCCAUGCAGUUGAUUUCGAGCUCUGUGGCGUUGUCGGCUGUUGACUGGUCGAAGUUUUCAAUCCUAGGAGAACCGAAGGUUAUGUCAGACGGCAGGACUGCCUCGGUGCCGUAAACCAUGAAGUAAGAUGAUACUCCCGUGUUCCGACUGGUCUGAGUUCGGAGGCCCCAGACCACAGCCGUUAACUCUUUCAUCCAUCGACCAGGUGCUCUGUCGUUCUCGGUGUACAACCUUUUCUUGAGGGCGUCAAUGAUCAUACCGUUCGCACGCUCGACCUGACCAUUUGCCCGUGGGUGCGCUACUGACACGUAUUUUAUGACUAUGCCCCUGUCAUCGCAGAAGUCCCAAAAUGUGGUGCCAGUGAACUGAGUACCCAAGUCGGUGAUUAUACUGUUUGGGAUCCCAAAUCUGUGUAUGAUUUGAUUAAGGAACUCCACAGCCUUUUCGGAGGUUGCUUUGACCAGUGGCAUGUAUUCAAUCCACUUUGAGAACUUGUCGAUUAACACGAAAACAAACUUGAAGUUGCCAGGGGCCGGUUUAAAUGGCCCGAUCAUGUCGAGCCCCCAGCAGGCAAAAGGCCAGGAUGACGGGAUGGUUUGAAUCUCAUGAGCAGGUACGUGGGUCCUUUUAGCGAAGAACUGACAUCCCUCGCAGUGUCGGACCAGUUUUUCUGCGUCGUUGACCGCGGUUGGCCAAUAAAAACCUGCUCGGAAGGCUUUCCCGACCAGCGUUCUGGAUGCAGCAUGAUUGCCGCAGGAUCCGGCAUGUAUGUCCUCUAGGAGCUUGAUGCCAUCGUCUUGGGAUUUGCAUUUGAGCAGUACUUCAGAACUUGCAUUUUUUCGCAUAAGUUUGCCGUCCACCAGUAUGUAAUUCUUUGAUCGUCGAAUGAGGUGCUCAUUCUCUGUUUUGUCCUGAAAGCCUGACUCAUCCGACAUAUAUCUUAUGAACUGGGUGCGCCAAUCAUGGCCACUGGUUGUCGGAGUGGCAUCGUCUAUGAGCAUUGCCUCAGUAAGUUGCUUUUCGACCAGGCCUAUGCCCACACUUGGCUCAUGGAUGUCCUGGACGAAAAUGCCCCGCGGGAUCUGGGCCCGAGAUGACCCUAAUUUUGACAACGCAUCUGCUGCCUGGUUCUUAUCCCGGACCACAUGGAUGUACUCUAGGCCGUAGAAGUUGGUUUCCCAUUUGUGAAUUUCUUUGCAGUAGAGAUCCAUCUUCUCGUGGGUUGCGUCCCACUCCUUAUUAAGCUGGUUGAUAACUAAAGCAGAGUCGCCAUAGACAUAGAGGCGUUUGACUCCCAGCUCAACGGCUCGCCUUAUGCCGUGCAGGCAUGCUUCGUAUUCGGCGACAUUGUUUGAUGCCGGAAAAAGGAUCCUAAGGACGUAACGCAGUUUGUCCUUGCUAGGCGAUACGAACAGUAUCCCGGCGCCGGCGCCGUUGAUGUUCAAGGAUCCGUCAAAGAACAUUGACCAGUGGUCGGAGACGUCGGGAACGGGAGGCUCGUUGAGAUCUGUCCAUUCAGCAAUGAAAUCGACCAGGGCCUGGGACUUGACUGUGGUGCGGCUCUGGAAUUCCAGGGAAAAUGGGCAUAAUUCCAUCGCCCAUUUUACGAUUCUGCCGUUGGCGUCUUUAUUGCGCAGAAUGUCCCCAAGAGGGAAACUGGUGGUUACCAAGACUCGAUGGCCGUCGAAGUAGUGCUUCAGCUUUCUUGACGUUAUUAGAAUGGCGUAUUUGUGGAUACCUGGCUUUGGACACGUUUAGGACUUCGCUUAUAAAGUAAAUGGGUCUCUGGACCUUGUAGACAUGACCUGGCUCAUCUCGCUCGACCACUGUUGCCGUGGAAACAACCCUGUCGGUUGUAGCAAUGUAAAGGAGUAGGUCUUCGUUGGGCUGAGGCGCUGUAAGAACAGGCGGUGAAGUGAGGAAAGUCUUAAGCUGGGUGAACGCGGCGUCGGCUUCCUCUGUCCAAGAAAAUUUUUCCGACGCCUUUAAGAGUUUGAAGAAAGGGAGGCCUUUUUCUCCUAGUCUUGAAAUGAAGCGGCUGAGAGCGGCCAUACAUCCGGUGAGCUUCUGAAUAUCCUUGACGUUUUUAGGUGGUCGCAUGUCGAGUACUGCUUUUACUUUUAAAGGAUUUGGCCGUAUGCCGUCGCGACUGACAACGUUGCCGAGCAGUAGACCAGAAGGAACACCGAAGAUGCACUUUUUGGGGUUAAGCUUCCACUUGUACCUAUUAAGCGCCUUAAAGGUUCGAUCUAAGUUGUCGAUUAGGGUGCUUGCAUCCCUUGUUUUGACGACGACGUCAUCUACAUAGGCCUCGACGAGGUCGUCACGAAUCUCGUCAUGGAGGCAUUGCUGAAUGGCCCGUUGAUAAGUGGCUCCGGCAUUUUUGAGUCCGAAUGACAUGGUCGUGUAGCAAUAUGCGCCGAAAGGAGUAAUGAAAGAUGUUUUGAUCUGAUCGUCUUUCUUUAGCGAGAUCUGGUGAUAACCAGAGUAGCAGUCUAGAAAAGAGAGGAGUUCGCAUCCGGCCGUCGAGUCGACCACCUCGUCGAUGCGAGGGAGACCAAAAGGAUCUUUAGGACAGUGUUUAUUGAUAUCAGUGUAAUCAACGCACAUUCUCCAUUCAUUGUUCUUUUUGCGUACAAGAACUGGAUUGGCGAGCCAAUCGGGAUGAUACACUUUUUUUAUGAAUCCGGCUGCUAGAAGCCGUGUUAUUUCUGUCCUAAUAGCCUCCUUUUUGUCACGAGCGAACCGUUGCAGCUUUUGCUUGAUGGGUCUUGCGGUCUUCGAGACAUUUAAGGAGUGCUCGAUCAGGUUUCGUGGGACGCCGGACAUGUCUGCGGGUUUCCAUGCGAAAACGCUUACGUUGCCCUUAGAAACCUGACGAGCGCGUCUUCCUAUUUGGGGUCCAGAUUGGCCCCGAUGAGGGCCGUCUUCUCGGGGCUGCCGUCGACCAGUUGUACUUCUUUAUACUCCUUGGACUUUGAAUUCUUCCUGGAGGUCUCCUGCUCGGGUAAUCGGAGCUGGUCGGGAGGCAGCUGCGCGGCUUGGGUUGCUGUUUCUGCCAUGCGAAUUGAGAGGUCCAUUGCCUCAGUGAUCUUGAAGCUUUCCUCUUCGCAAGUAUAUGCGGUGUGGACAUUGCCUAUGACGGUUAGUACACCCUUCUCCGUAGGCAUUUUAAGGACCAGGUAUGAGUAGUGCGGGACUGACAUGAACUUUGUCAGCGAUGGUCGGCCCAGUAUAGCGUGGUAGGUCCCAUCGAAGUCAGCGACCACAAAGUUGACGAACUCUGUCCGAAAGUGGUCGGGUGUGCCGAAUUGGACAGGCAAUGUUAUCUGUCCGAGGGGCACUGAACUCUAACCUGGCAAAACUCCCCAGAAUUGAGCAUCGUAGGGUUUUAGUUGUGCAGGAGAUAUCUUGAGAGCAGGCAGGCUGUUGCGGAAGAGGAUGUCAAUGGAGCUUCCUUCGUCCACGAGCACGCGCUCGAAUCUGAUGCUGUUGAUGCAAGGGUCCAGGAUUAGAGGGAAACGACCUGGCUCUGGGAUAGCGGCCCACUGAUCCUUCAUGCUGAAGGAGAUCUCCCUGUGCGACCACGGGGGAAAUUUCGGGUCUGCGAUCAGUCCGUCCGUGCUGUCUAUGUUGAGGCAGGCUCUCUUUAAUAGCUUUCUUUCUCGCUUAGAUUCGAUGGAGACCUUGCCUCCAAAGAUGGAGUGAACCACGUCAGUGGGGCUGACGUAUUGGUGUCGAGGGUCCCUAUCUUGGUCCUCGUCCUCGUCUUCGUGGUCGUGCCCGUCUCGCUUACCAUUUUUCUUGGCGGAGUCGUCUUGGGCGGCCCGCCGCGUAUAGAUGUUUUUGAGGACGCGGCACUCUUCCAUGGUAUGAUUAGACUUUGGAUGCAGUUGGCACGGUCCUUCAACAUUUUGUUGUAGUCUUCUUGGUAGUCCCGCCGCCCGUUGGGACGCUUGACCGUAUUCACUUCGUGGUCGUGGUCGCGGGGGCGCUUUCCUCUGAAAUCGUCGCGAUUGUCGCACCGCCGAUCCCAACCUUCUAUGUGAUCACGGUUGUCGGGGCGGUGGUGGUUCCUGUUGUCGAAACGACCGCGACCGUCAUCUCGCCGGGGAGGCUGGUCGGGACCUCUCGCAUCGUCCCGGAUUAGUUUCUCUGCGUCGUCGGCAUCGGCGUAAUUUUUAGCCGUGGCGAGGAGCUCCGCCAUCGUUGUUGGCCUUUUGCGCAACAGCUUGUUCCUCAGUGCUUCAUGGAAACACAGGCCCUUGAUGAAGGCAGAGAUGGCCUCGUCGUGGGAAAUCUUCUGGAUCUUAAGGCGCAUAUCCGAGAAUCGUCGGAUGUAAUCGCGCAGAGGUUCAUUUUUCCUGUCCCUUAUCCUUUCGAGGUCAUACUUGUUUCCAGGCUGCUCGCAUGUGGCGAUGAAGUUGUCGAUAAAAGCCUGGCGUAGCUCUUCCCAAGAGUUGAAGGAGUCCUCGGGCAAGCCAAGAAGCCACUGAUGACCAGCCUGGUCGAGGACUGCUGGGAAGUAGUUGGCCAUGACGUGCUCAUCUCCCGCUGCUGAUCGGUCGGCGAUUUCAUAGAGAGUGAUCCAGUUCUCUAGAUUUUCCUUGCCGUCGUAUUUUUUAAGUUUCUCGAGCUUGAAAUUGCGGGGCCACACAACCUGGCGUAGGUGUGAGGAGAACUGUCUCAGGCCCGGAGGGCCGUGCGUUGCAUCGUACUCGAUACGGCGCAGGUUUUCGUGGACUGCUCUCUCCGUGGCGCACCUAUUGAUGCGGUCCCGGGCAUCUUUGGGAGGGAUGUUAUAUCGAAGAUCCCUAUGCUGGUUUACUUCUUGACCGCGCCUGCGAUUCUGCUCGCGGUGACCGUCAGCAUCCCGACCGCCAUCGUCACGCCGUGAAUCUUUUCGAUGGUUGUCGGGGGAACGGCUGCGGUGAUGCCUGCUGGGCUGCGGUGAGGUUCGGCUACGAUGAGUCUGGUCGGAGGUGGCUUCCGUAUAAGAGACGGCCUGGACUCUCUUGAGAAGAGUGGCUGUCUGUCCCAUCGCGGCGAUCAGGUGCGCCCGGACACUGGUUCGGACCCCCUGGCACUCGGGGGUAUCAGGGAGCCGAUCUAGAUUAGCCAUGGCAACAGCCAUGUUGGCGCUUGGCGUUUUGUAGACUGGCUGGUCCCCGACCAUGUCAAAAGCGUCACUGAGAUUAUGCGGCGGAAUUUGUCGUUCCUCAUCUGUGCGUCGUCGGGCGCGAUCGGCGUUACGCUGCUCGCGGAGUUGCCUCUGCUCGUCCGUUUCUCCAUCAACGACCGGCUCAUCGGCGCUGACAUUGAAAACAAUGUCUCCUCACCGGGGGGGAAAAACCGAGAAACGGGAGAAACCAGGAGGAUGUGAAGGCAAAUCCAGGUCGUAGUCCUCGUCUUCGGAGUUUAUAACUUCGGUGGGGACGGAACCGGUGCUCGAAUUUGUGCUGGAGGCCUGGCCAUCCCGUAGUUCUCAGAUUGUCACCAUGUUGACGUAGUGGCGAGCAGGUCGACCGUUCCUCUUUGGUAACCAACCCUCCUUGUUGAAAAGGGAUUGGACGUGCCGUGAGUAGAGAGAGGCCGAGUUGUACAGGCCGCAGGGAUAAUCUUCCUCCGGGUUAGCCUUGUGCUUGAUGGAUCGCCCUGAGGGAGUUGAGGUUAUCGUCAGAGACGUUCCCAGCCGUUCGUGUGUAGCGACACGAGUUGGCCGGUGGGAUUUGGAAAAAUCCGUUGGGGCGGCUUGAUCAGGCUGGCGCAAGAUUCCAUCUACUAGUCGGGAAGCUUCAAGUAGCUUGGAAUCGGCGCGAUCAAGUGCUUGGAGAAGGUCCGAGCAGUCGAUCUUCUUUCCCUUGUAGAGGGGGAGCGAGGGUCGGGCGCUCGGUGCCGUUACCAGAGUGGUCGGAGCCGACGUGAUCCCAGAUUGGAUUUGAGUUUCUUCCAGAACCGUGGUCGUGAGACCACCGCUGCGCGUCGUCCACGUGAUCUGGCUGACGGUGAACGUGAGGCCUUCAGGCACGGCCGCGGAAGCUGGGAUUGUGACCAUCUUGUUCGCCGGAGAAGUUGCACGCAUACCCCCUACCUAGCGCGCCACUGUCGACGAAAGCUAGUCGGCAGUCUACCUUGGGGUAUACCCACGGUAGUAGUUUAUCGGUAGACGGUGCGCAAACUACGAACUCGAUGGUGACGCAAGACACGGACAAGCUUUUUAUCCAGGUUCGGCCGCCGAGUUGGCGUAAUACCUACGUCCUGCGUCUGGUUGUAUUGAUUUGUGUUGAGAGAAUAAUGAUGUCCUAGGGGGGGUCCCUUGCCUCUCCUUAUAUAGUCCAGAGGGCAGGGUUACAGAUCUGGAAACUAAUCCUAGUCGGUUACAAUUGCUAUAGAUAGUUCGAUAUCAAUUCCUAUUCUAACCGACUAGAAUCUUGCUUGAUCUCCACGUCUUGUUCCCUUACGUGAAACUCCGAGCUGUCGGAUCAAGCCUCGAACUUGUCUCGUAAUGGGCCAAACCUCCUGGCCCAAGUCUAGCCGUAAGGAUAUAGGGGUUUAUACCCCCACAUCGUGUUUGGUCUAUUUGGAGAUAGUGCGAAUCUUGAUGCAAGAUAGAUACACGGUCUGCAUGGAACGUACCAUAUGCUUAGAGAUUAAUUUGGACACACCCGAUAGAACUGCUUGAUGACGUGUGUCAUAUGGAAUCUCGCUUUGGUGUGCUUAUAGACAGUAUUACUUUCGGGGCAACAUAUGUGCACGGCUUGCGCCUAAUGCACCAAAGUCUAAGAAACCAUUUUGGAAGCACCUGUUGGUACUCCUAGGUGAAGAGGCUCAAGUGGAGGCUCAUUUCGUUCUGUUUAGAGAUAGUGCUAAUCUUGAUGCAAGAUAGGUGCACGAUUUGCAUGGAACAUACCAAAUGCUCAUAAAUCAAUUUGGACGCACCCGAUGGAACUCCUAGGUGACAUAUGUCAUAUGGAAUCUCACUUUGGUUCGUUUAGAGACUGUGUUAAUUUCGGUGCAAGAUAGGUGCACGGUUUGCACCUAAUGCACCAUAGGAUAAGAAACCAUUUUGGACGCACCCGAUGGUACUCCUAGGUUAAGGGGCUCAAGUGAAAGCUCAGUUUGGUCUGUUUGGAGAUAUUGCUAAUCUUGAUGCAAGAUAGAUGCACGGAUUGCAUGGAACAUACGAUAUGAUCAGAAAUCAAUUAGGACGCACAUGAUAUAACUCCUUGAUGAUGUGUGUCAUAUGGAAUAUUGCUUCGGUUCGUUUAGAGACAGUGUUAGUUUUGGUAGCAGAUAUGUGCACGGUUUACGCCUAAUGCACCAUUGGCUAAGAAACCAUUUUAGACGCACCCGAUGGUGCUCAUAGUUGAAGAGGCUCAAGUGGAGGCUCGAUUUGGUAUGUUCAGAUAUAGUGCUAAUCUUGAUGCAAGAUAGUUGCACAGUUUGCAUAGAAUGUAGAAUAUGUUAAGAAAUCAAUUUGGACGCACCCAAUAGAACUCCUAGAUGACGUGUGUCAUAUGGAAUCUCGCUUCGGUGUGUUUGGAGAUAAUGAUAGUUUUGUUGCAAGAUAGGUGCAUAGUUUGUGCCUCACGCACCAUAGUCUAAGAAAUAAUUUUUGAUACACCUGUUUGUACUCCUAGAUGAAGAGGCUCAAGUGGAAGCUCGGUUCGGUCUGUUUGGAGAUAGUGCCAAUCGUGAUGCAAGAUAGGCGCACGGUUUGCAUAGAACAUACCAUAUGCAUGGAAAUCAAUUUGGAUGCACCCGAUGGAACUCCUUCAUGAUGUGUGUCAUAUGGAAUCUCGCUAUCCAUUUGGAGACAUUGUUAGUUUCGGUGCAAGAUAGGUGCACCGUUUGCACCUAAUGCACCAUAGUCGAAGAAACCAUUUUGGACACACUUGUUGGUACUCCUAGGUGAAGGGUCACAAGUGGAUGCUCGGUUCGGUCUGUUUGGAGAUAAUGCUAAUCUUGAUGCAAGAUAAUUGCACGGUUUGCAUGGAACAUACCAAAUGCUUAGAAAUCAAUCUGGACGCACAAGAUCAAACUCCCAGAAGACGUUUGUCAUACGAAAUCUUGCUUUGGUCUAUUUGGAGACAGUGUUAGUUCCGGUGCAAGAUAGGUGCAAGGUUUGCACAGAAUGCAGCAUAGGCUAAGAAACCAUUUUGGACACACCCGAUGGUACUCCUAGGUAAAAGGCUCAAGUGAAAGCUUGGUUUGGUCUAUUUGGAGAUAGUGCUAAUCUUGAUGCAAGAUAGAUGCACGGUCUGCUUGGAACAUACCAUAUGCUUUGAAAUUAAUUUGAACACACCCGAUAGAACUCCUUGAUGACGUGUGUCAUAUGGAAUCUCGCUUUGGUGUGCUUAGAGACAGUAUUAGUUUCGGUGCAAGAUAUGUGCACGGUUUGCGUCUAAUGCACCGAAGUCUAAGAAACCAUUUUGGAAGCAAGUGUUGGUACUCCUAGGUGAAGAGGCUCAAGUGGAGGCUCGGUUCGGUCUGUUUAGAGAUAGUGCUAAUCUUGAUGCAAGAUAGGUGCACGAUUUGCUUGGAACAUACCAUAUGCUCAGAAAUCAAUUUGGACACACCAGAUGGAACUCCUAGAUGACAUGUGUCAUAUAGAAUCUCACUUCAGUCCGUUUAGAGACAGUGUUAGUUUCGGUGCAAGAUAGGUGCACGGUUUGCACCUAAUGCACCGUAGUAUAAGAAAUCAUUUGGGAUGCACCUGAUGGCACUCCUAGCUCAAGGGGCCCAAGUGAAAGCUCGGUUUGGUCUGUUUGGAGAGAGAGUGCUAUUCUUGAUGCCAAUAUAGAUGCACGGUUUGCAUGGAACAUACGAUAUGCUCAGAAAUCAAUUAGGACAAACCUGAUAUAACUCCUUAAUGAUGUGUGUCAUAUGGAAUCUUGGUGCUGUUCGUUUAGAGACAGUGUUAGUUUUGGUAGAAGAUAUGUUCAUGGUUUACACAUAAGGUAGGUACAAAGUUUUCAUGGAACAUACCAUAUGCUUGGAAAACAAUUUGGAUGCACCCGAUCGAACUCCUUGAUGACGUGUGUCAUAUGGAAUCUCGCUUUGGUCCAUUUGGAGACAUUGUUAGUUUCGGUGCAAGAUAGGUGCACAAUUUGCACCUAAUGCACCAUAGUCUAAGAAACCAUUUUGGACGCACUUGUUGGUACUCCUAGGUGAAGGGGCUCAAGUGGAUGCUCGGUUCGGUCUGUUUGGAGAUAGUGCUAAUCUUGAUGCAAGAUAGAUGCACGGUCUGCAUGGAACGUACCAUGUGCAAGAUCGGUGCACGGUUUGCAUGGAACAUACCAAAUGCUUGGAAAUCUAUCUGGACGCACAUGAUGAAACUCCUAGAUGACGUGUGUCAUACAAAAUCUUGCUUUGGUCUAUUUGGAGACAGUGUUAGUUUUGGUGCAAGAUAGGUGCAAGGUUUGCACAUAAUCUAGCAUAGGCUAAGAAACCAUUUUGGACGCACCCGAUGGUACUCCUAGGUAAAAGGCUCAAGUGAAAGCACAGUUUGGUCUAUUUGGAGGUAGUGCUAAUCUUGAUGCAAGAUAGAUGCACGGUCCGCAUGGAAUGUACCACAUGCUUAGAAAUUAAUUUGGACACACCCGAUAGAACUCCUUGACGACGUGUGUCAUAUGGAAUCUCGCUUUGGUGUGCUUAGAGACAAUAUUAGUUUUGGUGCGAGAUAUGUGCACGGUUUGCGCCAAAUGCACCAAAGUCUAAGAAACCAUUUUGGAAGCACCUGUUGGAACUCCUAGUUGAAGAGGCUGAAGUGGAGGCUCGAUUUGGUUUGUUUGGGAAUAGUGCUAAUCUUGAUGCAAGAUAGAUGCACAGUUUGCAUGGAAUGUACUAUAUGUUAAGAAAUCAAUUUAGACACACCCAAUGGAACUCCUAGAUGACGUGUGUCAUAUGGAAUCUUGCUUCGGUCUGUAUGGAGACAUUGUUAGUUUUGGUGCAAGAUAGGUGCAUAGUUUGUGCCUAAUGCACUAUAGUCUAAGAAAGCAUUCUUGACGAACCUGUUUGUACUCCUAGAUGAAGAGGCUCAAUUGAGAGCUCGGUUUGAUCUGUUUGAAGAUAGUGCUAAUCUUGGUGCAAGAUAGGUGCACGAUUUGCAAGGAACAUACCAUAUGCUUAGAAAUCAAUUUGGACGCACCCAAUGGAACUCCUAGAUGAUGUGUGUCAUAUGGAAUCUUGCUUCGGUCCGUUUGUAGACAUUGUAAGUUUUAGUGCAAGAUAGGUGCAUAGUUUGCGCCUAAUGCACCAUAGUCUAAAAAACCAUUUUGGACGCACUAUUUGGUACUCCUGGGUGAAGAGGCUCAAGUGGAAGCUUGGUUCGAUCAGUUUGGAGAUAGUGCUAAUCCUUAAGCAAGGUAGGUGCAUGGUUUGCAUGGAACAUACCAUAUACCUAGAAAUCAAUUUGGAUGCACCUGAUGGAACUCCUUGAUGACGUGUGUCAUAUGGAAUCUCGCUUCGAUCCAUUUGGAGACAUUGUUAGUUUCGAUGCAAGAUAGGUGCACAGUUUGCACAUAAUGCACCAUAGUCUAAGAAACCAUUUUAGACGCACUUGUUGGUACUCCUAGGUGAAGGGGCUCAAGUGGAUGCUCGGUUCGGUCUGUUUAGAGAUAGUGCUAAUCUUGAUGCAAGACAGGUGCACGGUUUGCAUGGAACAUACCAAAUGCUUGGAAAUCAAUCUGGACGCACAUAGACGUGUGUCAUACGAAAUCUUGCUUCGGUCUGUUUGGAGACAGUGUUAGUUUCGGUGCAAGAUAGGUGCAAGGUUUGCACAGAAUGUAGCAUAGGCUAAGAAACCAUUUUGGACGCACCCGAUGGUACUCCUUGGUAAAAGGCUCAAGUGAAAGCUCGGUUUGGUCUAUUUGGAGAUAGUGCUAAUCUUGAUGCAAGAUAGAUGCACGGUCUGCAUGGAACGUACCAUAUGCUUAGAAAUUAAUUUGAACACACCCGAUAGAACUCCUUGAUGACGUGUGUCAUAUGGAAUCACACUUUGGUGUGCUUAGAGACAGUAUUAGCUUUGGUGCAAGAUAUGUGCACGGUUUGCGUCUAAUGCACCAAAGUCUAAGAAACCAUUUUGGAAGCACCUGUUGGUACUCCUAGGUGAAGAGGCUCAAGUGGAGGCUCGGUUCGGUUUGUUUAGAGAUAGUGCUAAUCUUGAUGCAAGAUAGGUGCACGAUUUGCAUGGAACAUACUAUAUGCUCACAAAUCAAUUUGGACGCACCAGAUGGAACUCCUAGAAGACAUGUGUCAUAUGGAAUCUCACUUCGGUCCGUUUAGGGACAGUGUUUGUUUCGGUGCAAGAUAGGUGCACGGUUUGCACCUAAUGCACCAUAGGAUAAGAAACCAUUUUGGACGCGCCCGAUGGUACACCUAGCUCAAGGGGCCCAAGUGAAAGCUCGGUUUGGUCUGUUUGGAGAGAGUGCUAUUCUUGAUGCCAAUAUAGAAACACGGUUUGCAUGGAACAUAUGAUAUGCUCAGAAAUCAACUAGGACACACCUGAUAUAACUCCUUGAUGAUGUGUGUCAUAUGGAAUCUUGCUUUUGUUCGUUCAGAUACAGUGUUAGUUUUGGAAGAAGAUAUGUGCAUGGUUUACACAUAAGGUAGGUUCAUGGUUUUCAUGGAACAUACCAUAUGCUUGGAAAUCAAUUUGGAUGCACCCGAUCGAACUCCUUGAUGACGUGUGUCAUAUGGAAUCUUGCUUCGGUCCAUUUGGAGACAUUGUUAGUUUCGGUGCAAGAUAGGUGCACAGUUUGCACCUAAUGCACCAUAGUCUAAGAAGCCAUUUUGGACGCACUUGUUGGUACUCCUAGGUGAUGGGGCUCAAGUGGAUGCUCGGUUCGGUCUGUUUGGAGAUAGUGCUAAUCUUGAUGCAAGAUAGAUGCACGGUCUGCAUGGAACGUACCAUGUGCAAGAUCGGUGCACGGUUUGCAUGGAACAUACCAAAUGCUUGGAAAUCUAUCUAGACGCACAUGAUGGAACUCCUAGAUGACGUUGUCAUACAAAAUCUUGCUUUGGUCUAUUUGGAGACAGUGUUAGUUUCGGUGUGUUGAUGCAAAACUGAUCUGCAAACACAAAGGGCUAAUACCCGAUUCAAACGUUAAGGCGUGCCAGCCGAUUUGACCUUACUAUCGGCAAAGGUGAUAACUCGAAUACUUUAGUCCUGACAACAGCGAUGCGCCCGGAUGUCACGGCUAAGAGGUACUCACGCGGAACUCGAGAACACGCCGAGCUUAAGUCGACGGAUUCCUAAGAACUCGUAAUAAAAGGAAAAAAGUAUGACGAAGUCGUCGAAAAGUAGAUGCUGGAAUAUGAGUAAAAACGUGUGUUUGAUUGAUUUCUUGAUUGAUUAUUACAAGGUCCUAUGGUUUAUAUUUAUACCCUGCUCAAAGAGCUACAACCAGACACGAUUAGAAUUCGAAUUCCAAAUUACACGGAAUCCGUAUACAAAACGAUGCAAAUAAUUAAGGAAAUAAUAAAACUAUCCUUCGUGACAAACCGAAACUCCUCCACAUGACAACUGGCAGCUUCCGGACUCCUCCUUUGCAUCAUCGGCAAUCCCUUUGCCAUAGUCAUCGGCAGACCUUUUUAUCCAGCCAUCGGCACCAUAUUACUGCCUGUGGACUUAGUCACAUUCAACCUCUCCCUCAUCGGCAACCAUCCUCAUCAGCAACCCACAUCGUACUGCCACCCUACCCUGCCAUCCUAGACACGUGCCCAAAAACGGUGUCAACACAUGCCCCCCAGUUUCGGAGUAUAAAACUAUUAAUGCUCCGAAAUUCUCUGCAGUAAUGAUGCCUUCUCCGCAAUUAAUGCUCCUAAUCUGGUAACCGACAACCUCAAUCUGGACAACUCUGAUCCUAAUCCUCCGCAGAUUCCUCGAAAUCCCCAACUUCCUAAACGGGCAUCUUUCUUGGUCGUACAUCGGCAACAAUACUGUUACAAAGAUCUACCGAUGCUCUGACCAGGAUAUUCGCAAAAACGGUUACCUCCCCUCUAUCCGCCCAUCGGCAAGAUGACCGUUAUAGAAUAUCGCCGAUGGACCGACCAGGAGAUCUCGCACAGUAAAAUAUCUUCAGAUAAUGACCGCUUCCCAUCAAAUCACCUGCACAAUCCCUGGAUUACCGUGCGAACAGUUACCAUAUCCACCUGAGUACCCUCGGGCUUCUCGGAUGCGGCAAAGAGAUAAGUCGGAUUUGCCCUUGCCCAUCUUGUCCUAUAAAUAGUUCCUUCUUGGGUACUCCUCCCCCAUCACACCAUUCUACUAUCCAACUUUACUUUUCCAGCGGCGGCGCCAUUUACAACCUUCAAGACCUCCGACAAGCAGUCCUCUUCAUCAACUCCGGUGCCCUCCAACGUCCUCUUCACGACAAGAUGGCCAUUGGCUUCGUCGUCCCUGAGGUCAGAUUUCCAUCUCAUCUUCUGUGUAUAUUCCUAUUCAUCCGCGAUUCAUCUUACUGAAUAUUCUCCUUUUCCUUUUUCUUUGUAUUUUUAUUCCCCCAAAAUCACUAGGAGUUGUCCAAUAAAAUUGUCAUCCCCACCGAUCAACCACACCUUCAAUGUCUCGGUCCUCUAGGGGAUUCAGAUCCAACCAAUCUUAUCAACGCAGAAACCAAUAGAAUCCCCUUUAGAGCUGAAAACUUUUCUGUAGAUCUGUGGAAAGACACUUUUUGCUCUUGGCCCAGCCCUACCGUAGGGUGGAAAGACUGGUUCUUGAGGCUCAGCAAUUCUUAUGAAGUCCAGUGGGGUGAGAGGAAGCUAGCCCAAUGCAUUAGGCUAUCCAUUGCCGAUAUGCACAGGAACGAGUCACUGCUGAUAGCUGCAUCCUACUUUUGGUCAGACACUCUCAAUGCUUUUGUUUUUGGCCACGGCCCUGCUUCUCCUACCCUUGCCGAUGUAGCCAUGCUCACUGGGCUAGAUAUAUCUUCUGCCGAUAGCACCCACUUUUUUGAUACUGCCCCCAGUGCCAAAGUGGAGACUCGCGCUAUCGGCGGUUGGUCAGGGUACAUUCAGAAGUACCGCGGGAGAGGGCCUGUCACCAUAAAGGAGCAAACCACCUUUCUGAACAUGUGGCUGGACAAGUUUGUAUUCUGUGGUCGAUCGGCAGGACCGACUUCUGUCUAUCUAUCGGCAGCAGAAAGAUUGGCUAACGGUGGCCAAUUUCCUCUCGGCCGAUAUUUGCUCAGCGCUGUUUACCACCUUCUUCAUCAGGUAGCCCAGAAACUCCUGCUUGGCCAAUCCAUCGGCAACUUGGGAGGCCCCUGGUGGUUUAUUAAUAUGUGGCUCAAUCUGCACCUGCAUAAGCGCCUUGAUUUCAACUUGUUCUCACAGCACUUCCCAAGAGAUAUAGCCGAAAAUCAUGUGUUGGGUGAAGAGGAAUCGGCAACGCGUGCCCCCUUGAACUUUGGCGAAGCCGUUAUAGUCUUACCCGGUUCAGGGAAUAAUCCGGAUUAGAUUGGCCGAUUCUUCGAGACUCUGUAUGAGGGUCUGGCUAGAGAUGAACGACCAUGGCUGGCUUAUGAUGACCCAGAUAGCAUGCUCCCUCUGACCUUCAAUCCAUUUGAUGAAGCUCUCGACAGGGACAAUGAGGCGAUGAUGGCAAUUGUGACUCCCAGAGCAAUUCCAGUGAAUUUCUUUGGUAGCACGAAAACUUCUCCCCAGACUUACGAAUUUUACAAUCCAUCGGCAUUAGCUCGCCAGUUAGCUUUCGGCCAGUUGCCGAUUGCACUUCCUUAUGCCGAUGUGAUAAAACCCAGAGAAACCAUCAACAACCUUCUUGAGUGGACUCGAGUAGCCCAACUACCACCAAACGCCGAUGUAGAUGUAGAUCUGUCAGAAUGGGUUCCGGCUGCUUUUAUCACUCAGGCAUACAAGUUAUGGUGGGCAGAAUGGAAAGAGCAUCUAUUCUGCAGAUCGGCACUUUCAUACCGCGGCAUGAUUGACCCCGAAUACGAAGUUCCUGAUGACACUGUAAGUAACUCAAACUAACGUUUCAUUUUCUCACUAUUACUUCUAUCGGCAGCUUACCCUUGUAUUCCUUCUGCAGGUUGACAAUAUCCCUCCAUUGGUUAGCAGGAGUGGCAAGCCGAUCGACUUGUUUCCAUCAGGCCCGAUUUCCUCAAUCGGCCACAAUGCUCCCACUCUGGCUUCCAUCGUGCAUCGGGGUGUGCGCCUCAGGAAAGUUACGACCAGGAGAACCCAGACAUCACCAACGGUAGAUGCUCCCACUCUGGCGCGGGCUUUCAAGGCAAUUUGUCAAAUCUUUAUCUUUUACGCUGACUAUCUUUAUAUCGGCUUUAUUUAUACUUACAAACCCUUGUUCGUUAUUGCAGCAAACCAGUGCAUCGGCAAAGGUCACACGUCAAGGUGCCGAUGCCACCCAGUCCAGCCAGCCAAAGAGGAAGGGUGUCAAGAGCACCAGGGCCGAAACGAAAUGCCAAAAAGUGGCAGCUCCCCCUCCUCCUCCGGUAUCUCCAAUCCGAGUAGAGUCUUCUCCUUCUUCUCCAGAAGUCCAGACACAGCAAGUGCCAUCUCCCCAACCAAUGCAGGAUGCACCACAGAUGGAAGAAUCCCAGCAGGAAGAGCCUCAAACAGAAAGUACAUCAGUUGAUGUGGGUGAACAAGCAACUGGUCCGGUGGGUCCAAUUAUAUCACCGGCGGCUCUCCCGAUUCAGACAACCGUUGUUCCCCCUCCAGGUAACAUACUUUAACAAUACCGUUGCCGAUGAACUCAUUCUCAUUUAGUCUCAUAACCUUUCUUGUCUCCAGGUAACAUACUUUAACAAUCCGCAGCUCCGUCAGCACCUCCCAGUCCAAGGCAAGAGAUCGCCUUGAAGCAAGUAAGUCACUGUUUACCGCCAGCAUCAUUUGCCGAUUCUCCGAAUAUGAGCUAACCUUGCUUUCCCUCCCAGGAACAAGAUUCUCCUGAUAGCCUGUUUUCCUUCGCCAUCGAUCUCUCUGAAGAAGAAGGCGAAGAAGCAAGUUCUUCCCAGACAGUUGCCAUUACAUCGGCAGAGACCAGGGCCAGGCUGGAAGAAUUGUCAGUUCUCCUUCACCAGGAUACAGGGCAUUUGGUCGAUGACUCUGACCCUACCAAGACCCUGUUCAGAACUCUCAGAGGCCAAAUCCCAGCCGACGUCGAAGAAAUCCUGUUCCAAGCCGCUCAUCUGGAGAGUCGCCAGCUGCAGUACCAGAGAGCUUCUCGGCGUCUUGCCGAUAGAGCCGCUCAAACUCAACUCUCCGAUGAAAUGAGGAAAGAGAAACUCCUGACCGAUGAGAAGCACAAGAACAUCGGUAUCCUGAAAUCUUCAGGAGAUGCGCUGAAGCAGAAGAUAUCCGAUCUAUCGGCAAGAAGAGAAUUCCUGUUGGCGGAACUCAAGGAAGUGGAGAACGCCUUAUCCCAAGCCCAACAGGAAGAGAACCAAUUGCCAGAGACCAUCAGGCUUCUUGAGCACGAGCGAAAUGUUCAUGGUCGCAAGGCACUCCAACUGAAGAAGAAGCUAAAGCCGAUAGAAGGUUCUGCCGAUGAUGACAUCAAGGAGAUAGAAGCAGCCAACCAAAUUCGGCUACGUGCUAUAUCGGCUAUCCAGACGCUGCUUAACACAUAGAGUUUCCAUCGGCAUUGUAUCUACGCUUUCCUGCUUCCUCAACUUUUAGUCUAGCCGAUAGGACUGUUAUCGGCGCCUAAACUUUUGAAACACCAAGUUCUGUCCCCAAGCAUUUGGCUCCAGCCGAUAGGAGUGUUAUCGGCACCUAAACUUUUAUGCAUUGACCCAUAUACUGGGGUAGUACUUCUUUAAAUAUUUGCCGUUUAAUGCUCUGGGAAAUUCAAUUCCUUCGAGGGUUUCUAGAAUGUAGGCAUUACCAGGAGCCGAUCGACUUAUCCGAUAAGGACCCUCCCAAUUAGGAGACCACUUUCCAAACUUCGAGCUUUUGGUCCCAACUGGUAAAAUUAAUUUCCAUACCAAAUCCCCAUCGGCAAACUCUUUAGCCUUCACUUUCUUAUUGUACCAUCUAGCAACUCUUUUCUUAUUUUCUUCUAUACUCAUUAAAGCUUGUAACCGAUGCCCUGCUAGAUCAUCCAAUUCAUCGGUCAUCAAAGUGGCAUAAUUGUCGAAAGUUAAUUGAUCUUGAAAAGAUAAUCGCCUAGAUCCAUCCUUAAUUUCCCAAGGCAACACGGCAUCAUGUCCAUACACCAAUUGAUAGGGUGAUACCUUGGUCGAUCCAUGACAAGCCAUCCGAUAAGACCACAAUGCUUCAUUUAAUGAUGUAUGCCACCGCCUAGGAUUUUCUUCAAUCUUUCGUUUAAUAAGCUUGAUAAUUCCUUUGUUAGACACUUCGGCCUGCCCAUUGGCUUGAGCAUAAUAAGGAGAAGAAUUCAACACUUUAAUUCCCAUACCGAUUGCGAAUUCAUCGAACUCCCCCGACGUGAACAUGGUGCCCUGAUCGGUAGUAAUCGUUUGGGGAAUCCCAAAUCGGUAAAUAAUAUGCUCCUUCACAAAAUCAAUCAUAUUGGCCGAUGUGACUUUCUUCAAAGGAAUAGCUUCGACCCACUUAGUGAAAUAGUCAGUGGCAACUAGAAUGAACUUAUGCCCUUUGCUAGAUGGUGGAUAAAUCUGGCCGAUCAGAUCGAUGGCCCAUCCCCGGAACGGCCAAGGUUUUAUUAUAGGAUUCAUAGCCGAUGCGGGUGCUCUCUGGAUAUUACCGAACUUUUGACAACCUUGACAUCCCUUGAAAUAUUUAAAACAAUCUUCAAGUAUGGUUGGCCAAAAAUAUCCAUUCCUUCGAAUCAUCCACUUCAUCUUAAAAGCUGACUGAUGCGCUCCACACACUCCUUCAUGGAUUUCCCCCAUCAAACUUCUGGCUUCAUCAUCACCCAAGCAUCGGAGAAGAAUUCCGGCGAUAGUUCGAUAAUACAAUUUAUUUUCAAGGAGCACAUACUUGGUUGCCUGAAAUCGAACCCGUCUUUCAACUUUUUUGGAUGGAUCUUUUAGAUAAUCAAUAAUUUCUUUCCUCCAAUCACCGGCACCGACUGCCGAUGUCGCAUUAAUCAUUGGCUGAUAUCCCGAGGCAUGCUGAGUUAACCGAUUAGCGUCUUCAUUAUGCAAUCGGGGAACAUGCUCCAAUCGGAAGUCCUUGAAUUCCUUUAACAGUUGCAUACUUCUCUCGAAAUAGGUUAUGAGAACUUCACUUCGGCAUUCAUAGCUUCCGGCCAAUUGAUUUAUAACCAACAUAGAAUCCCCGAAUAUUUCAACAGCAUCAGCACGAACUUCUCUUAACAACUCCAAUCCCUUGAUCAGAGCUUGAUACUCAGCCUGAUUAUUUGUUGAUGUAGCAACAAUCGGCAAGGAAAACUCAUACUUCCUCCCCUUAGGAGAAACUAAUACAAUGCCGAUUCCUGCCCCCCGGUCACAGGUAGAUCCAUCAAAGAAGAGCGUCCAGGGUGCAAUUUCCAAGGUUUCCACUAGACCGCAAUGCUGAGUCACAAAAUCGGCCAUAAUUUGCCCUUUGACUGCCUUAGCCGAUUCGUAACGCAAAUCGAACUCCGACAGCGCUAAAAUCCAUUUACCGAUCCUACCACUCAUAAUCGGCAUAGAUAGCAUGUAUCGGACCACGUCAUCUUUGCAAACAACAGUGCAUUCGGCCGAUAACAGGUAAUGUCUCAGCUUGAUACAUGAAAAAUAUAAGCAUAAGCACAGUUUCUCAAUGGCCGAAUACCUGGUUUCAGCAUCAAUCAACCUCCGACUCAAAUAAUAAAUUACCCUCUCUUUCCCUUCAAAUUCUUGAACUAAAGCUGAACCGAUAACCGAUCCAUCGGUAGAUAAAUACAAUUUGAAGGGCUUCCCUUGUUGAGGUGGAACUAAAACUGGAGGAUUUACUAGAUACUUCUUGAUUUCAUCCAGAGCCAACUGCUGUUCUUCUCCCCAAACAAACUCUUGAUCGGCUUUCAAUUUAAGAAGAGGACUGAAAGCACGAAUCCUCCCAGAUGAAUUCGAUAUAAAUCUUCUGAUAAAAUUUACCUUGCCGAUCAAGGAUUGGAGCUCGGUUUUAUUGGUAGGGGCCACUAUUUUAUUGAUGGCAUCAAUAGAUCUUCGACUAAUUUCAAUACCCCUCUGAUGUACCAUGAAACCAAGAAACUGCCCUGCCGAUACGCCAAAUGCACACUUGUUGGGAUUCAUCUUCAAUCCAUGCUUCCUUGUGCACUCCAACACUUUUCGUAAAUCGGCAAGAUGCUUUCAGAAAUCUCCAGACUUAACCACCACAUCAUCAAUAUAAAUCUCUACGAGCUUGCCGAUGAACUCAUGAAAUAUAAAAUUCAUAGCCCUUUGAUAAGUAGCACCAGCAUUCUUUAACCCAAAAGUCAUGACUAUCCAUUCAAAUAGUCCAACAUGACCAGGACACCUGAAUGCGGUUUUUGGAAUAUCCUCCUCUGCCAUGAAUAUUUGAUUGUAACCUGCAUUACCAUCCAUGAAGCUGAUGACCCGAUGGCCAGCCGCAGCAUCAACCAGUAGAUCGGCGACAGGCAUUGGGUAUCCAUCCAUCGGUGUAGCUUUAUUGAGAUUCCUGAAAUCAAUGCACACCCGAAGCUUCCCAUUCUUCUUGUAAACCGGAACAACAUUGGAAAUCCAUUCGGCAUACCGACACUGCCGAAUAAACUUAGCUUCAAUAAGUUUAGUGAUUUCGGCCUUAAUAUCAGGUAGAAUGUUAGGAUUACAUCGGCGGGCUGGUUGCUGAUGUGGCCGAAAUCCAGACUUGAUGGGUAACCGAUGUUCAACAAUUGAUCGGUCUAAACCAGGCAUCUCUGUAUAAUCCCAAGCAAAGCAAUCUUUAUAUUCCUUUAACAAACUAGUCAAUUGUCGCUUACACUCAGGAUCUAAUUUAGCACUAAUAAAAGUAGGCCUAGGCUUAUCACCACUACCUAUAUCUACUUCUACCAAAUCAUCGGCCGAUGUGAAUCCCUGGCCUAAUUUUCCAUCAUCGGCGAAUCUAUCCAUUAAAAACCGUCGUCAGAACCGACUGCUUGGAUCGGUGGAAUCUCAUAAUCGGCAACUUUGAGAAAAUCUUUCUCCCAAACUUCUCCUGAAAUGCACCUGGUCCUUUCGUAAGUAUCCGCUUCUGCCGAUGCGAUAACAUAAGAAGAAUCUCCUGGGACGAUCUCAAUCUUGUCACCUACCCACUGAACCAAGCACUGAUGCAUUGUAGAUGGGACACAACAAUUGGCAUGAAUCCAAUCUCUCCCCAAUAAUAAAUUGUAGGCACCUUUUCCGCUGAUCACGAAAAAAGUUGUCGGCAAGGUUUUGCUGCCGAUGGUCAACUCUGCACAUAUCGCCCCCUUGACUGGAGACACGUUUCCUUCAAAGUCUUUGAGCAUCAUAUCGGUCUUGGUCAAAUCUUGAUCCCCUUUCCCAAGCUUCCGAUAUACUGCAUACGGCAUAAUAUUAAUAGCAGCUCCACCAUCAACUAGGAUCUUGGUCAUUGGCUGCCCAUCAACCCUUCCUUUGAGGAACAAAGCUUUAAGAUGCUGCCUCUCGUCAUCGGCAGGUUUCUCAAAGAUAGCCGUCAUCGGAUCCAGAGCUAACUGAGCUAUCUGAUCAGAAAAUUCCAACUCAUCGUCACUGGCUGGUGCAAGAAACUCCAUCGGCAACAUGAAGACCAUGUUGACGCCUGCCGAUGGACCUUCCCUCUUAGUGUCUGACGGCUGCCGACUUCCAGAGUUCUCUCCCUUGUUUAGCUCCUCUUGCCUUUCUCGUUGCAAUCUCCUUUUCUGUGUCUUGGUUAAUCCUCGAGGGCACCAUGGAGGAAGUGGCCUUUGCCUUGCCGUCGGGCGUCGGUUCUCCCUUGACUCCAUACGAUGCGUGUUAGCAUCCCUGCAAAAUAUGAAUUCAUCGGGAACCCGCGCAUCAGCCAUUCCUUCGAGCUCCUCUUGGUUCCUGGGAAAAUACUGGACACGGUCACUAAGUCUGUUGUGCCCACUGAAUCUGCCCCCCAGCUGGUCAUGAACUGACACCCUUCCUCUGAUCGGCCCAUUAGCUCGCCGUUCGUCAUCAUGAUAAUGCCGAUCGAUCCUAUCGUACCGAUCAUAACCGUUGCAUUCAGGGCAGUCUCUGACAGUAGGAAGCUUGAUAUUUUCCUCCCAACAAUGGAUGAAGAAUGGACAAUUCCAAUGAUCCCUGUGCCGAUUCCACUCCUGUCGGCGUCUUUCUUCUUCCCGUUGAUAAUCUUCCUGCUGGCGCCGAUACCGAUCUUCCCGUUGUUGCCAUUUUUCUCGAGGCCUUCUAUGAGUUAUGACGAUACCAGAUCGAGGAAGCCUUCCUGAGCUAGUUCCUUCCUGGACCAAGCCCUUACUUCUUGCAUCGGCAGUAGUAACUUGAUGCUGAGGAUCUACCGAUGCACUCUUCUCAGCUGUCUCCGACGUUAAUACCUUAGCCUUCCCCUUAGCAUCCAACAUGUUUGUCGGGAAAGGAUGUUGGUCUAUCUUCAUCGGCUUCUGGGCUUUGGAACUGUCAAACUUGAUUCUCCCUGACUCUAUAGCCGAUUGCAGCUGCUGUCUGAAUACUUUGCACUCGUUGGUGUCAUGUGAAGUUGCAUUAUGCCACUUGCAAUAUCUCAUCCUCUUCAACUCUUCUGCCGAUGGGAUCACAUGGUUAGGUGACAGUUUGAUUUGACCUUCCUAAAGUAGAAAGUCAAAUAUCCUAUCGGCCUUGGCGGUGUCAAAGGCAAACUUCUCUGGUUCCUUCUGCCCAAAAGGACAAGACAUCGGCUUCUUGUUUUUUACCCACUCUGCCAAACCGAUUACUGGUUCCUCAUCGGAAUCUGAGCUUGUUGCUUCAUCAACAAAUGACACUUUCUUAUUCCAUGCCCUCUUAGGCUCGAAAGGCUUGAUGUCUUGAUCAGAUAUCCUCUGCACCAAAUGACUUAAACUUUCGAACUCCUGAGAGGCAUACUUAUCCCUGAUAUGUGGCAACAAACCCUGGAAAGCCAAAUCGGCUAGCUGCCGAUCAUCCAGAACCAGGCUAUAGCAUUUAUUCUUGACCUCUCGUAUCCUCUGCACGAAUCCCUCAACCGACUCAUCAUUACGUUGCCUCAACUUGACCAAGUCGGUGAUCUUCUUCUCAUGAACCCCCGAGAAGAAGUAUUUGUGGAAUUGCUUCUCUAGAUCGGCCCAAGUAAUUACUGAGUUGGGAGGUAAUGAUAUGAACCAAGUAAAGGCCGAUCCAGACAAUGAUGAUGAAAAUAGACGAACCCUCAAUUCGUCCCUGUUACCAGCCUCUCGACAUUGAAUAAUGAACCUGUUGACAUGCUCCAUGGUUGACGUGUCGUCCUGUCCGGAAAACUUUGUAAAAUCCGGUACCUUGUACCGAUGUGGAAGCGGGAUCAAAUCAUACGCUGGAGGAUACGGUGUCCGAUAAGAAUAAGUGUUGACUUUGGGUUUUAUCCCAAAUUGUUCCCUCAUUACUUCAGCAAUCUUAUCGGCCCAAUACGCAUCGGCAUCUUGCCGAUGAGGCGGCUGCGGAUCUGGCACUUGGUGGCGAACCUCCACGUGUCUGUUCGGGACGUGAUCUGCAUGGAACAUUGUAUUGGUCACCUGUCCUCCAAUCUACGGACCACCAAACUGCUGUCCGCCGAUUGGCUGUCCUCCGAGUUGCUGUCCAAAAUUCAUUGGCUGGUUGGGAAUCCCCUGACCUUGGAACCCGGGAUAGACCUGCCCUUGCUGGAACCCUAUAGUCUGAUAACCCUGCUGGGGCGAUUGUGGAAAGGCUUGCUGUCCAAGCCAUCCAUUAUUAGCGUUCAUCGGCAUAGGUGCUGCCGAUGAUUGGUAAUUGGGUACCGUCGUUGAAUUGACAUACCCCAACUGGGCCAUAGGCCUCUGUUGCAUCAGCAUUGACUCUGCCGAUGCGUUGGGAAUCUGGAACAUUGGAUCUUGAGGAUUUCCAGUGUGAGGCCUUGCAGUAGUAGUUGUGGUAUACCGAGGACUCUGGUUCACCGGCGCAUUGGGAGGUGCCGAUGUCAUAGGAGUUUUGCCCCUCAUGUCAGUUAUUUGUGAUGUUCCCGGCGUCAACUCUGGAGGCAUACCAUAACCCCACAAGUUGGGAGGAAGAGUCAACCCUGACAUUGCCGAUGCCAACAUAUCUGUUGUCAGUUUAUGCUGCCCAACUGAAAUUUGUGGGUUGGUUGCCAUCGGCAUAGAUAGUGCACCAGUAGUCCCCAAUGUACUUGGAGGGACGGCAGACUGUGCACUUGCAUUCGUCAAGGCAGCCGAUGGAGCCGUGACCUCUGGUGCCGUUGGCUGAUGAUGGGAGGGGCCCACAUAAUCUGGUGGGAUUUGCCCUUCCUUGAAAGUUCUUGCCACGGCAUUGAAAACCGUAUUAGACAGUACACCAGCUUGGUUAAUCAACGCUCGAUUGAUGGCAUUGUCAACCAUAUCUUGAAGCUUGCCAGGAUUGGCGUCAAAGGUAACCUGCCGUGGUGCCGGCAGUGUAUCUUUCUAGACCACUUCGCCACUCCUGUUUAUGCUGAAAGACCUCAGGCAUUGCUGCUUGAACUCUUCCAUGGCUUGGGCAAUAGCUUGCUUCUGCUCAUCCUUGAGGUUGGCCUCCGUCACGGGGAUGACGUUCUCUUGAUCGAGGUCAGAGAUCGACAUGUUGAUCUUGAUCUUGAAUCUGUCCCACUGGGCGUGCCAAAAGAUGUGUUGAUGCAAAACUGAUCUGCAAACACAAAGGGCUAAUACCCGAUUCAAACGUUAAGGCGUGCCAGCCGAUUUGACCUUACUAUCGGCAAAGGUGAUAACUCGAAUACUUUAGUCCUGACAACAGCGAUGCGCCCGGAUGUCACGGCUAAGAGGUACUCACGCGGAACUCGAGAACACGCCGAGCUUAAGUCGACGGAUUCCUAAGAACUCGUAAUAAAAGGAAAAAAGUAUGACGAAGUCGUCGAAAAGUAGAUGCUGGAAUAUGAGUAAAAACGUGUGUUUGAUUGAUUUCUUGAUUGAUUAUUACAAGGUCCUAGGGUUUAUAUUUAUACCCUGCUCAAAGAGCUACAACCAGACACGAUUAGAAUUCGAAUUCCAAAUUACACGGAAUCCGUAUACAAAACGAUGCAAAUAAUUAAGGAAAUAAUAAAACUAUCCUUCGUGACAAACCGAAACUCCUCCACAUGACAACUGGCAGCUUCCGGACUCCUCCUUUGCAUCAUCGUCAAUCCCUUUGCCAUAGUCAUCGGCAGACCUUUUUAUCCAGCCAUCGGCACCAUAUUACUGCCUGUGGACUUAGUCACAUUCAACCUCUCCCUCAUCGGCAACCAUCCUCAUCAGCAACCCGCAUCGUACUGCCACCCUAUCCUGCCAUCCUAGACACGUGCCCAAAAACGGUGUCAACACGGUGCAAGAUAGGUGCAAGGUUUGCACAUAAUCUAGCAUAGGCUAAGAAACCAUUUUGGACGCACCCGAUGGUACUCCUAGGUAAAAGGCUCAAGUGAAACCUCAGUUUGGUCUAUUUGGAGGUAGUGCUAAUCUUGAUGCAAGAUAGAUGUACGGUCUGCAUGGAACGUACCAUAUGCUUAGAAAUUAGUUUGGACACACCCGAUAGAACUGCUUGAUGACGUUUGUCAUAUGGAAUCUCGCUUUGGUGUGCUUAGAGACAGUAUUAGUUUCGGUGUAACAUAUGUGCACGGUUUGCGCCCAAUGCACCGAAUCCAUUUUGGAAGCACCUGUUGGAACUCCUAGUUGAAGAGGCUCAAUUGGAGGCUCGAUUUGGUCUGUUUGGGUAUAGUGCUAAUCUUGAUGCAAGAUAGUUGCAUAGUUUGCAUGGAAUGUACCAUAUGUUAUGAAAUCAAUUCAGACGCACCCAAUGGAACUCCUAGAUGACGUGUGUCAUAUGGAAUCUCACUUCGGUCUAUUUGGAGACAAUGUGAGUUUCGGUGCAAGAUAGGUGCAUAGUUUGUGCCUAAUGAACCAUAGUCUAAGAAACCAUUUUUGACGCACCUGUUUGUACUCCUAGAUGAAAAGGCUCAAGUGGAAGCUCGGUUCGGUCUGUUUGGAGAUAGUGCUAAUCUUGAUGCAAGAUAGGUGCAUGGUUUGCAUGGAACAUACCAUAUGCUUGGAAAUCAAUUUGGAUGCACCAGAUGGUACUCCUUGAUGACACGUGUCAUAUGGAAUCUCGCUUUGGUCUGUUUAGAAACAGUGUUAGUUUCGGUGCAAGAUACGUGCAUAGUUUGCGCCUAAUGCACCAAAGUCUAAGAAACCAUUUUGGAAGCACCUAUUCGUACUUCGGUGAAGAGGCUCAAGUGGAAGGUCAGUUUGAUCUGUUUGGAGAUAGUGCUAAUCUUGACGCAAGAUAGGUGCAUGAUUUGCAAGGAACAUACCAUAUGCUUAGAAAUCAAUUUGGACGCACCCAAUGGAACUCCUAGAUGACGUGUGUCAUAUGGAAUCUUGCUUCAGUCUGUUUGUAGACAUUGUAAGUUUUAGUUUAAAAUAGGUGCACAGUUUGCACCUAAUGCACCAUAGUCUAAGAAACCAUUUUGGAUGCUCUAUUUGGUACUCCUAGGUGAAGACGCUCAAGUGGAAGCUUGGUUCGGUCAGUUUGGAGAUAGUGCUAAUCCUUAUGCAAGAUAGGUGCCAUGUUUGCAUGGAACAUGCCAUAUUCUUGGAAAUCAAUUUGGAUGCACCUGAUGGAACUCCUUGAUGACAUGUGUCAUAUUGAAUCUCGCUUCGGUCCAUUUGAAGACAUUGUUAGUUUCGAUGCAAGAUAGGUGCACAGUUUGCACCUAAUGCACCAUAGUCUAAGAAACCAUUUUGGACGCACUUGUUGGUACUCCUAGGUGAAGGGGCUCAAGUGGAUGCUCGGUUCGAUCUGUUUGGAGAUAGUGCUAAUCUUGAUGCAAGAUAGGUUCACGGUUUGCAUGGAACAUACCAGAUGCUUGGAAAACAAUCUGGGCACACAUGAUGGAACUCCUAGAUAACGUGUGUCAUACGAAAUCUUGCUUCGGUCUGUUUGGAGAUAGUGUUAGUUUCAGUGCAAGAUAGGUGCAAGGUUUGCACAUAAUGCAGCAUAGGCUAAGAAACCAUUUUGGACGCACGCGAUGGUACUCCUAGGUAAAAGGCUCAAGUGAAAGCUCGGUUUGGUCUAUUUGGAAAUAGUGCUAAUCUUGAUGCAAGAUAGAUGUAUGGUCUGCAUGGAACGUACCAUAUGCUUAGAAAUUAGUUUUGGACACACCCGAUAGAACUCCUUGAUGACGUGUGUCAUAUGGAAUCUCGCUUUGGUGUGCUUGGAGACAGUAUUAGUUUCGGUGCAAGAUAUGUGCACGGUUUGCGCCUAAUGCACGAAAAUCUAAGAAACCAUUUUGGAAGCACCUGUUGGUACUCCUAGGUGAAGAGGCUCAAGUGGAGGCUCGGUUCGGUCUGUUUAGAGAUAGUUCUAAUCUUGAUGCAAGAUAGGUGCACGAUUUGCGUGGAACAUACCAUAUGCUCAGAAAUCAAUUUGGACGCACCAGAUGGAACUCCUAGAUGACAUGUGUCAUAUGGAAUCUCACUUCGGUCCGUUUAGAGACAGUGUUAGUUUCAGUGCAAGAUAUGUGCACGGUAUGCACCUAAUGCACCAUAGGAUAAGAAACCAUUUUGGACGCACCCGAUGUGUCGGUGUUUUCCCCUUGGGUGGUCACACCAACGAGUAAAACUAGUGCGUGCUCCCUUUUCCAGAUGGUGAUGCAAGAAAAGACACAAAGGUUUAUCCUGGUUCGGGCAAGAGAAGGCCCUACGUCCAGUGGAGGGGGGGAGUGUUUGUAUUAUCUUGCACCUAAGUGCUUGUACAGGGGUGAAUACAGGCGUGGUAUGAACGGGGAUGGAGUAAGGUUGCUCUACUACGUAUGACUUGUGUUCUCCUGUGUAUCCGCUCCUAGACCUCCCCUUUUAUAGUUCCAAGGAGAGGUCACGGGUACAUACAUAGGCGACAGAAUAGGGGUCGAUAGGGGUAUGGCUUGCUGACCUACUCAAGGCCUCCAUACCGGCGUGGCCUCGAGCCGUCUUGUCUUGGUACUCUGAUGAUGAUUACGCGUGCCCCUGAAUCCUACUCCUAUGCGCCGUCCUGGAUCGGUUUAUCCGUUGCACGCUUGUACGUCGUGACUGUGGCCGCGUCAGAGUGGUUGAGGUGCCGUCCUCCGUUGACUGACCCUUCUCUAGGAAGGAACACGUCUACUCGAGGGUCAAAUACCUCUUGAAGCCUUGCUAGGCAGAGCGCUGACUUUGGAUGUCUCGAGGGGGGUCUUGACGGGGCGUUCCGGCCAACUCCCUGCGCCCUGCCACACUCUGGCUCGUUUGGUGGGGAAGGCUGCAAAAAGAACGACAGGACGGGUGCUUGUUCCCUAUCACGCUUCCCGUGACUGACGGGUUAGGUGAGAGCGCGGCAGGCGCAUUAAAUGCCCUGGUUCCCGUGCCCGUGUCAGGCGACAGGCGGCGUCCUAGCGCUCGAGCCCUUCGAUUCGUACGAGCCUGUUUCCGUAUUCGACGGUUACUAGCGCUUGAGCCCUAGUCGAUUCGCACGACACCCUUUCUGUGUUCGAGGUUACGGACGUCGAUAUCAGUGCGCGCGGCCUGGGCAUCGAGUCGGGGGCCCUUGAUUUACGUAUGGGUGCUCUCGUCAUGAGCGUCGGUUAGGGUAUCCAUUAUUGGCACCCUCGACAGUAGCCCCCGAGUCUCAAUUCGAGCACUUGCGCUCGAGUAGAGGCUCUUAUUAUUGGUCGAUAUUCCGUGGGGGCGCGCGAGCGACCCCGCGGGGGUAGCCCCCGAGCCCUUGGAGGAGUUUUGACUCCUUCGAGGGUUAUGUUGCCCAGUCUACGGAAGCGCUCUCGAUGCUCAUCGCGGAAGGUGGGCUAGAGGUUUUGAUUAGUCGAUUUCGCAGUGGGGCUACGACGUACUCCCGGUGGAGCGAGCGCCAUCUACCCCAGCUUGAGCUCCUAGCGGGUAAUCCAAGUGAGAACCUGUGCCCCGUUCGAGGGGGUCAGCUGUAGCCCGGAGGCGUUCUCAUAAAGCGGGGUCGACGUGGUCGGGGUUACUGGUCUCGUUCGAUAGAGUCCAGCGGCUCGAUGCCUCCCUUCGGGGGGAUUUCUCUCGACCGUCUCGACCUCACCUUGGACAUCCCUAGCGAGUUCUCGAGGCGGUCCUCGAUUUCCGACCACUCGCUGGGCAUCCCUGACUCUGGUACUUGAGAUCGGCUGUAGAACCCAUUCGGUGGGUCAGCCUGCGACCUCUCGAGGUUCUCGUGAGUACGUACCUUGGCUUACAGGGGAAGGAAAAGGCCGUAGCGGUUCGCCUUUUUGCCCGUUGGGCGCGUCUUUUAAAGCGGGAGCCGUUGCAGCACUGUACCGGCAUGGAAUUCGUAGCGUCCCGUCUGUGAGAGAGAUAAGGACGGUUAGGCGGCACAUUUAUUUAGGGGAGUUACCGUAUUUGUCGGAUCUGCUAGUUGGUGGCCGGCCGUCUAUAAAUAUCCUCGGGUCUCUCUGCCGUCGCUUCUUCCGCCUUCCGCCCUUGCUCUCGUUUCUGCUUCCUUGCCUUCUCACGCGUGCGCACCCUUGAGCAGUAGCAGAGCCGCUCUCCUUCCUCCUGAAGAUGCCGGUGAGACUUAUUGCCGCUGAUGACUGGCGCCCGUCGUCGAUGACGGAGCACCGGUUGCUCGAGCUCGAGAAGGAAGGACUCCUGCGCCCCCGCACUUCGUCGUCGCGGCCAGAUUGGAUCGCGCCAGCGGCGGACCACCGGGAACCAAGGCCGCCCAAGGGCUAUGUGGUUUCUUUGGCCAAGUUCCAUCGCCAUGGCUUGGGAUCCCCUCCGAGCCGCUUUAUGCGGGCGCUUUGCCACCACUACGGCGUGGAGCUCCAACACUUCUCGCCGAACGCCAUCACCGCCGCGGCGUUUUUCGCCGCGGUGUGUGAAGGCUACCUGGGGAUGAUGCCGCAUUGGGACCUGUGGCUCCACCUGUACUAGGGCGAGCUCUUCAAUGCCCCCAGCGGAACCGUAGGGGUGAGGAAGCCGGUACGGGCCGGGUGCCUCAACCUGUUGCUGAAGACCGGCAAGUCGCAGAAGCCACGGGAGUACAUCCCGGUGGGGUUGACUUCGAACCACGCCGGGUGGGACUCCCAGUGGUUCUACCUGCAGAACGACGAUGACCUCCUCCCUACCUACACCGGGCGCUUGAUCUCGGAGCGCCCGGACCAUUGGAGGUACGGCAUUGUCCAGGCGAGCCAAUCGCGGCUCGACCCCAUCCUCGACGCCCUGAAGAAGCUACAUGAGGAGGGCCUGACAGCGACGCUCGUCCUUUCCGCCGUACAUCAUCGACGAGUGCUUCCUUUGAUGUCCCGGCCGUUGAGGUUGGAUGAGAUGGGCUCUGGCGCCUCGUCUCGCGUUCUCGAGGCUUGCCAGACGUCUAAUGAAGCGCCUGCGGACGACGAGGUGGACGCUAGAGUUAGGGCGGCCGUUGCAGGCCACUUUAAGUCCGAGCACGUCAAUGGCUUCCCUAUGAGGCCCGACCACGGAUCGAUUGACCUGGUAAGUCCCUUUUCCACUUAUGGCUUCCAUUCUUGGUCUUCUUCGACCUCCUUUAAGACUUAUGUUUGCUCGUCCAGGGAUCGAUUGAUGCUCGAUCCUCGAAGCUGUUGACGGUUCUUAAGUAUCAAUUUUAAUUAUCAAAUAAACAAGAGAAAGGACCAAUAUGCAACUAGCACAUAGAAUUAGGGUUUGAUCUGACAGAAUUCCACGAGUUUUGUUGUUUAUGUAUUUCUGCAGGGGGUUAUCAAGAAAUAAGGAAGAAAGGCCCACAUGUCAGGAUUACAUAGAGAUAUCAACGCACCGCGCAAUUUUACAUCAUCUAGAAGACUCCAGAAGCCACGAGACCGAAGCGAAGGCGAAGUUGGGCCAGGCCCAGGGCGCCCGCCCUGGAAGCCUGGGCGCCCGCCCCCCUUCUGGAGCCAAUUCAGGACUCCUUCGCUCGGGAUAUUCCACCGACCUAUUGGAUCAAGAAAAACAUAGUACCACCUCGGCUAUCGACCCAAAAACGCAUAGAAGGGGAGGACUAUAUAAGCGAGGCCCACCUGGCCCCUGGAAGAGAUGAAGAAAUUAUCAUAGAGACUGAGGGGUGCCCUCGAAGGAAAACCUCUUCUCUAAUUAAUAUUUCUUUUUAGGCUUAGCAAUCAAUGUAAGGUAGAAAUAGAUCUUCUAGUUUCUACUAGAUUGAGAGAUAUAGAGUGGAGGAAGCCCGGCCUGUCGGUGUCUACUCCAAGCUUGUACCUGCGGGAUUAAGUUCUCCUAACCCGAAGCUUGCUCCUAGGAUUCUUCAGUAAUUUGACUUCUAAAUUCUAGUAAGUUCUUGUUUUAUUGUUCUUAUGGUUUAUGAGUUUACUUUAAUCUCUUCGCGUAGAGUUUAGAGUAAUCAUUGCUGGCGUAAACAUGGUGUUUAGGCUGGGGUACUCAUAGAUAUUCCCUGACUAGCUGGACCGUGGUAGUAGUGAGGAACGUGACAUUUCCGAGCUACCUUUGUAGAUCACAUCUCGUUAGCAGGAAGGAUAGGGUUUAUAGGUGCUGGUCGAACAUCCUUUGUGGUGUCUAGAUUCCGUUAGCCUCCCCAUUAGAACAGUAGAUCAUCCUUACCAAGGUUAGAAGGAGACUACAGUUGCAGUCUUCUCUAUUUAUCACUCACAUCGAAAGACAUUCUUUGUGCCUAAAGGUUAGUAGUAAUAGACCAGUUAGUCAGAUGCACUCUUUCUCCUAGUGGUAAAAAAAUAAAUACGAUACUCUGGAUAAUUUCCCGGGUGAAAUGCUCACCGAUAUCCGUGCGCUUGCGGAUGAAUUCCUUAUUGCGUUCCCAAAUAUCAACAAGCAUUUCUGGCACCGUUGCCGGGGAGAAAGACGGUUGCUGAGAUAACCUGUGUCUUGCUAUUAGCUUGUAUCUAUACUUUUAUCUUUUCGUAUCUUUUAUAUUCUUUAUUUAUUUUCUUUAUUCUUACCUUAUGGAAAACCAAAAUUCUAAAUCGAUCCAUGAGUCUGCAAUCCCUUUAGCAACUGACCUUUUACCAUGGGAGUCAUCACAGCCUAUCCAAACAUCCCAGUAUAAGUUAAGUUAUAGGUUGAUUGCCAUGAUUCAAAACCUAUCUUUUUCGGGAAAGGAAGACGAAAACCCUUACCUUCAUAUUAGAGAUUUUGAGCAAACAUGUGAUUGUCUUCGCAUUGAAGGCAUUUCUGAUAAGACUUUACGUUGGAAGCUUUUUCCUUUUUCUCUAAGGGGAGAAGCUAGACAAUGGUACAGUCAGAAGGUAAGUCAACAACAAGGUGAAUGGGGAGUUUUACGAGCCAACUUUUGUCUAGAUUUCUAUUCCCUUGACCGUAUAGCCGACCUUAGACUCGAAGUCCUAUCUUUUAAACAAAAAGAUAAUGAAACUUUGGGAAAAUCCUAGAAACGUUUUUCUAAUCUUUUAGAAUCUGGUCCAAACCUUAAUCUUGAAGACCCUGUUCUUUUAUUUCACUUUUUUCGAGGUCUUCAUAAAAAUCACAAACAAAUGCUACACACAAUGUCUAGAGGUUCUUUCUUUCGCAUCCCUGCUGAUGAAGCUAGAGUGAUCCUAGAUAGAAUCCUAGAAGCUGAGAUGGAUAAUACCCUUCAUGAUGAAACCUACGAAGCCGAAGUAGACACUCUGCCAAAUUCUUCAUCUACUUUAGCUAUCCCAAGUUCUGAGCCAAAAGAGGAAGAAAUUCCACUACCGGACUUCAUGCUGGAUAUAGAAUCCGAUCUUUUUGCCGAUUUUGGAAAUAUUUCAAACUACCAUUCUAUUGACAACCCCCAAAACGGCCAGUCUAGCAUUUAUUUACCAAGUGAAUAUCAAUUGAGAGAGCUUAUCUCAGUGAUGAGUAGCGAAUGGUUGGAGGAAUCAGAGCUUUCCUCUGAUGUGAUCCGUUUGGACACACCCUCUAUAACUAUACGCUGUGCUUAUAACUCUGAUCGAUUUAAUGCUCUUUAUAAUCCUGUUGUGGGGAUCAACAUUAUGUCUGAAUCUUUUGCACUUAAACUAUUUAAAAAUCUUGUCUUAACCCCCACAACAAAGGUCAUAAAGGAAUCUUCGGGACGAUUAGUCCCCAGUCUUGGAAUUAUUAAUGUCCUACCUCUUACGGUAGAAGGCUCCAUGGUUCAUUUGAACUUCUAUAUCUUUGAUACAUGGGACUUCGACUUAUUGAUAGGACAACCUUUUAGAAGACUCCUUUAUGAAGGUCAUACUGGAAAGCUAAACAUUUCUUUUGGAAAAACUUUUCAAUUCCCAAUGAUAAUUUGACACUCCUUAAAUAAUAAGGCCGAGUCAUAUCUUUUGCCUGAUCCUAUGGAGGAGGUAAAGGCUGCAUCUCUAGAGCUUUUAGAUGAACCAGACUUAGAAGACGAAACUCCUUUCUUCACAGAAGAAGAAGACGAACCUUCCGAGCCUGAACCCUUAGAUGAGUUUGCAGAAACACCUAGACCCCCUAUAGAGCUUAAAACUUUACCACCCGGUCUUACCUAUGCUUUCCUAAACAAUAAUCCAGAGUUCCCUGUGAUUAUUAGCGAUAAACUCACUCAGGAUCAAACUCUGCGAUUAAUGACCAUUCUUGAGAAACAUCACUCAGUUUUUGGCUACUCACUUCAAGACCUUACAGGAAUCAGUCCUAUGAUUUGUACCCAUCGUAUUCCAACAGAUCCUUCUGUUACACCCUCUCGAGAACCCCAACGUAGACUUAACAACACUUUGAGAGAGGUAGUUAAAAAGGAAGUUAUAAAGUUGCUGCAUGCAGGGAUUAUAUAUCCUGUGCCGCACAGUGAGUGGGUAAGCCCAGUACAAGUUGUGCCUAAAAAGGGAGGCAUGACAGUUUUUAUGAAUGAAAAGAACGAGCUAAUUCCGCAACGCACCGUCACAGGAUGGCGGAUGUGCAUAGACUAUAGAAAAUUAAACAAAGCCACGAGAAAGGAUCACUUUCCUUUACCUUUCAUAGAUGAGAUGCUAGAGCGGUUAGCAAACCAUUCAUUCUUUUGUUUCUUGGAUGGAUACUCAGGAUAUCACCAAAUCCCGAUCCAUCCCGAUGAUCAAAGCAAAACCACUUUUACAUGCCCGUAUGGAACUUAUGCUUACCGUAGAAUGUCUUUUGGGUUAUGUAAUGCACCAGCUUCUUUUCAAAGAUGCAUGAUGUCUAUAUUUUCUGAUAUGAUUGAAGAGAUUAUGGAAGUUUUCAUGGAUGAUUUCUCUGUUUAUGCAAAAACUUUUGAUAGUUGUCUUGAAAACUUAGACAAGGUUUUGCAAAGAUGUGAAGAAAAGCACUUAAUCCUUAAUUUGGAAAAAUGUCAUUUUAUGGUUAGAGAAGGAAUAGUGCUAGGACACUUAGUGUCUGAAAGAGGGAUCGAGGUAGACAAAGCUAAAAUUGAAGUAAUUGAACAGCUACCUCCACCUGUGAAUAUAAAAGGAAUUCGAAGCUUUCUUGGCCAUGCUGGUUUUUAUCGUAGAUUCAUAAAAGAUUUUUCAUUUAUUGCUAGACCACUUACUCUUUUGCUAGCCAAGGAUGCUCCUUUCGAAUUUGAUGAUGCAUGUCUAACAUCUUUCAAUUUAUUAAAGAAAGCACUCAUCUCUGCACCAAUCAUUCAACCCCCUGAUUGGUCGUUGCCUUUUGAAAUUAUGUGUGAUGCUAGUGAUUAUGCUGUGGGGGCAGUAUUGGGACAAACUAAAGAUAAGAAACAUCAUGCAAUUGCUUAUGCCAGUAAAACUUUGACAGGAGCUCAACUUAAUUAUGCAACCACUGAAAAAGAGCUUCUGGCUGUUGUCUUUGCCAUUGAUAAAUUUAGAUCUUAUUUAGUUGGAGCUAAAAUAAUUGUUUACACUGAUCAUGCUGCAUUAAAAUAUUUGCUCACUAAAAAAGAUGCUAAACCUCGCCUGAUUAGAUGGAUCUUAUUACUCCAAGAAUUUGACUUAGAAAUAAAAGACAAAAAAGGAGUAGAAAAUUCUAUUGCUGAUCACUUGUCUAGAAUGUAUUUUAAGAGUCCACAGGAAACCCCUAUCAAUGAUUCACUCCGGGACGACAUGCUCUACGGGAUUAACAGGUCUGACCCUUGGUAUGCAGAUAUUGUUAAUUUUAUGGUUUCAGGGUAUGUACCACCAGGAGCAAACAAGAAGAAGCUUACUCAAGAAAGUCGUUCACAUAUAUGGGAUGAGUCAUACCUCUUCCGAGUAUGCUCUGAUGGCUUACUCAGGAGAUGUGUGACCACUGAGGAAGGAUGGAAGAUCAUCGACAGAUGUCAUUCAUCACCAUAUGGAGGUCAUUAUGGAGCAUUCCGUACACAUUCAAAGAUCUGGCAGUGUGGAUUCUAUUGGCCUACAAUGUAUGAAGACACGAAGCAAUAUAUCAGAAGAUGUGGGCCAUGUCAAAGGCACGGAAACAUAAAUACAAGGGAUGCAAUGCCACUCACCAACAACCUUCAGAUUGAGCUCUUUGAUGUCUGGGGAAUAGACUACAUGGGUCCAUUUCCUCCAUCAAAGAAGUGCGAGUACAUCUUGGUGGCGGUUGACUAUGUCUCCAAGUGGGUAGAAGCAUUACCUUGCAAGCAUGCCGACAACGUCAGUUCAAAGAGGAUGUUUGAAGAAAUUAUAUUUCCAAGAUUUGGAGUUCCCAGAGUAGUGAUAAGUGAUGGAGGAGCACACUUCAUCGACAAACGUUUCAAGCAAUAUCUAUCAAGACAUGGAAUCCAUCACAAUGUCGCUACCCUUAUCAUCCUCAGACAAGUGGCCAAGCAGAGACUUCCAACAAACAAAUCAAGAAUAUUCUUCAGAAGACAGUAAAUGAAAUGGGAACGGCGUGGAAAGACAAGUUACCCGAUGCACUCUGGGCAUACCGGACAGCAUAUAAGACCCCAAUCGGAAUGUCUCCAUACCAAUUGGUGUACGGGAAGACUUGCCAUCUACCUGUUGAACUAGAGUUCAAAGCACACUGGGCCAUAAAGAGAUGGAAUAUGGACCUAGAUGUUGCUGGAGAUUAUAGAAGAAUGCAAUUAUCAAAAUUGGAAGAAUGGCGAGAGAAGGCAUAUCACAAUUCAAAAAUCUACAAAGAAAGAGUCAAGAGGUGGCAUGACAAGAGAAUCAAGAAGAAGGAGUUCACACCCGGAGAUAAGGUAUUACUUUUUAAUUCCAGGGUGAAGCUUUUCGGGCAUGGAAAACUCCGGAGCAAAUGGGAAGGACCAUUCAAGGUAAUCAAUUCAUCAUCCCACGGAGCUAUCACACUUCAAAAUAACGAAGGUACGUUAUUCAAGGUAAAUGGUCAACGUCUUAAAUUAUUUUUAGAGCCCAAUGAGGAAUUUGAAGAAAUAGACGUAGUCCAUUUUUACCUUCCCAUAGAGAAUUAGAGCCCGACACUUUUGGUCUGAUGGUUUUGGGUCAUAUAUAUAUUUUUCUAAAUAAUUUCGCAUCUAGAAACACGCUCGGAAAAGUGGGCCCACAAAGGGGCCAGAGAGAGGGCGGGCGCCCAGGUCAAGUGGGCGGGCGCCCUGCCCCUGUUCCCCCUCGGUCCCGACUUUCUCUGUUAUGGAAAAUGCACUUAGGGUGAUCCGAAUAAUCCCUCGGAUGGAAAGUUUCCCACGCAAGUCGACGGGAGUAACCCGAACAACCCAUAGAGGCACCCUUUUGACCCCUAUAUAAACAGACCCCUGACCUCAAUUUUCAAACACCAAGCCCUCAAGCUUUCUCUCCUUCAAUUAGAGCUUGAUUAGCUCGUCUUUAAUUAAAAUUUUAUUUCCUUGCUACUCCAAUGGCCGAGAAGUACCACGAUGAUUGGGAAGUCGUCCCCUUCAACCUCAACAUGGAGCCAGUGGGAGACCUCGAUGCCCGUGCUCUCGUCCCGGCCAACACAGAGCGUCAGCUAGAAGCCAUACCAUUACGCCAACGCAGCUCCGCCCAAUCUUACCAUGCUCAACCAGUUCUCACCGCACCACCACAACCCCUACUCCUCAAAGGAUCAUCAUCUAAGACGAAGACCACUAUCAAGGUGCCAAUCGGCACAAGAGUCCUUCCACCUAGACCCAAUGAGAGGGUCGUUGGGGUCAAGACCAACCGGAGCGGCGAGAUUAGCAGCGUUCGCUACACUACGGAGGAGGAAAGGCCUUACUUUGAAGGGAUUAGAGCAGCCAAAGUCCGUUUCAUCCCUCCAAAGGCAGCCCCGAAGCACGCUCUCAAUGCUUUUGAGACACCUCCCAAGCGUCCCAAGACUAUAAUGGAUAUUGAUGAGGAAGUUCGCAGGCUAGAUAGAAUUAUCAUAGACCUCCAGUCCUCGAUUAAUUCCCUCACUAGGCAGCUCUCUAACCACAACACCGUUACACUAGGCCUUAGGCAGGAUCUUGCCAGUGCCAACAAGAAGAUCAAGGAAUUAGAGCGCCGCUAAGUUAUCUAGAUUAGACCUUGAGGCAAUACAUCUUAUCUAUCUUUAAAUUCGGUUUAAAUUUGCUUUUAUAAGUUUGCUAUUAUUAUCAGUUUGUUAUCAGUUUGCUAUCAGUCUUUUGUAAUAAAUGCCUCAAGAUCAAUAAAGAGUAUUAUUAUUAUUAUGUUUUGUGUGUCUCUACUUUAUUUUUGUGCAAGAAAGCAGAAAACAAGUAUGGGGGAGAUCCCUCAACAUGCCAAACACACUCCGACUACACCACUCCACGAUUCAGGUACACACUCUGCACACUUUACUUUACACAUAUUUUGGAUUAUGCAGAUUACUAUUUCUGACAUGAUAAAUUAAAAAGAUUAAAAUAUUUCUAAUCAUGAUUAAUCUCAAUCUGUGAUAUUUCCUGAAAACUUGCAAUUAUUAUAAAAUCAUUUUAAAACCCUGUGUUACUUAAGUCAAAUGGAAUAUGUGAUGAUAGAGUAUAAGUUUCUUAUUCUUGAUAUCAUUGUUGCUUGGAGAAUUUAUUUGAGAAUAUUCAAAUUUCUAGCUACCAUCCUCAGUGUUUUAUAUGCCUGAUAAAACUGAAAUAUUAAUUAUGAUUAUAAAAGCUAUCUGCUCUGUAUUGAGUUUGUUCAAAAUAAGUUAGACCCUUGUUGAGAGAUUUAUCAUGCUCCCAAGAUCAAGACAUUAUUUCAGAAAGAUUCACUCUUCCGAAGUAUUAUUGCAUUAGAGGCAUGGGCUAUGCAAAAAUAGAAGAUAUUUCGAGGAAAUAAAAAGGAGCAAGUGCUCGACAACCUCGCAGAAAAAAUGGACAAGUGUCCGGCAGUAGAAUUAGGGGUACCUCGGUAUCCACUUAAAAAAAAGAGAAAAAAAAUAUGAUAGCCCAUGGUCCCUCUAAUAAGCAAUAUGCCAGCAAGAGUUGACAAAGUUUUUAAAGUCUUUGAUCUAAGAGUAUGACAUUCCCCUCCUCGGAUCCCGUUUUGAUCAGGCAAUAAAUGCAAAGUGAGUAUGCUUAAGAAUUUUUGCAAAAUAAAACAACCUUAGUGAGAUAUAUAUACAAAAGAUAAUGAGUGAUCUGAGAGAACCUAUGAGGAUAAAAAGGUAUGCUAACUUUCUUUUAAAAAUAUACAAAAACUCCAAGUGACAGGAUUGAGAAGAAAGGAUCUUUACUCUUAAUCAUAUACUUCCCUGACUAUGGUACACAGUGGAAAUUUUAACACCCUGCAAAUAUAAAAUGCUUUAAAAUGUUUUACCCCAGAUAUUUUUCUUAACCAUCCUUUUCUCGAGGACGAGUAAAAGCCUAAGUAUGGGGGUAUUUGUUGACGGUUCUUAAGUAUCAAUUUUAAUUAUCAAAUAAACAAGAGAAAGGACCAAUAUGCAACCAGCACAUAGAAUUAGGGUUUGAUCUGACAGAAUUCCACGAGUUUUGUUGUUUAUCUAUUUCUGCAGGGGGUUAUCAGGAAAUAAGGAAGAAAGGCCCACAUGUCAGGAUUACAUAGAGAUAUCAACGCACCGCACAAUUUUACAUCAUCUAGAAGACUCCAGAAGCCACGAGACCGAAGUGGAGGCGAAGUUGGGCCAGGCCCAGGGCGCCCGCCCUGGAAGCCUGGGCGCCCGCCCCCCUUCUGGAGCCAAUUCAGGACUCCUUCGCUCGGGAUAUUCCACCGACCUAUUGGAUCAAGAAAAACAUAGUACCACCUCGGCUAUCGACCCAAAAACGCUUAGAAGGGGAGGACUAUAUAAGCGAGGCCCCCUGGCCCCUGGAAGAGAUGAAGAAAUUAUCAUAGAGACUGAGGGGUGCCCUCGAAGGAAAACCUCUUCUCUAAUUAAUAUUUCUUUUUAGGCUUAGCAAUCAAUGUAAGGUAGAAAUAGAUCUUCUAGAUUCUACUAGAUUGAGAGAUAUAGAGUGGAGGUGUAGAGUGGAGGAAGCCCGGCCUGUCGGUGUCUACUCCAAGCUUGUACCUGCGGGAUUAAGUUCUCCUAACCCGAAGCUUGCUCCUAGGAUUCUUCAGUAAUUCGACUUCUAAAUUCUAGUAAGUUCUUGUUUUAUUGUUCUUAUGGUUUAUGAGUUUACUUUAAUCUCUUCACGUAGAGUUUAGAGUAAUCAUUGCUGGCGUAAACGUGGUGUUUAGGCUGGGGUACUCAUAGAUAUUCCCUGACUAGCUAGACCGUGGUAGUAGUGAGGAACGUGACAUUUCCGAGCUACCUUUGUAGAUCACAUCUGGUUAGCAGGAAGGAUAGGGUUUAUAGGUGCGGGUCGAACAUCCUUUGUGGUGUCUAGAUUCCGUUAGCCUCCCCAUUAGAACAGUAGAUCAUCCUUACAAAGGUUAGAAGGAGACUACAGUUGCAGUCUUCUCUAUUUGUCACUCACAUCGAAAGACAUUCUUUGUGCCUAAAGGUUAGUAGUAAUAGACCGGUUAGUCAAAUGCACUCUUUCUCCUAGUGGUAAAAAAAUAAAUACGAUACUCUGGAUAAUUUCCCGGGUGAAAUGCUCACCGAUAUCCGUGCGCUUGCGGAUCAAUUCCUUAUUGCGUUCCCAAAUAUCAACAGAAGCCUCCGGUGAAGGAGGAUGACGUGGAUCGUGACAAGAGGCACGAGUCCGCGGAGAAGUCGAAGUCCGCAAAGGACUUGGAAAAGAAAAAGGAAAAUAAGAAAAAUCUCACGCGACAACCGUUGGAGACGCGUCGAGCGAAGUCCAGGCAGAGGGAGGAGCCUGAGGAAUAAUCCCCCGAUGAGGAUGAUGGCGGCGAUGGUGACGACGACAGCGACGACUCCGAGGGGAUGGCGUCCCGUCUUGACAGGAUCCUUGAUUGUCCACCUCAGACUGGCGUCGACAUCUCGCGGAUAGGAGUCCCUAAGGGAGUGCCAAGCGGGCCUCGUGAGAGUCAACAGAGGGAGUCAUCUCCGCUCCGCUCUCACGCUGACCCCCCUCCGGCGCCUGCGCAAGGUCGGACCGUCCCCCGCCGCCAACCUCCUCCCACAUCUAAGGCGGACCAUCGGGUCAAGUUUCUGGCGACGGGGUUGUUGACCCAUGGCCGCGCCACGGCCUCGAGCAUGGGGGAAAUGGGUCGUGGGAACACUAGUCUAGGCGUUGGCCAGGCGGGAGAUGCCGAGCCGAGAUUUUUGCCCGUUCGUCAGGGGCCCGGAGCCUUGACACAGAGUGUCUCGAGGCCUGCUGGUCGAGGCGCUGGUAGGCGGGUCGCUCUUCCUGUGGGGUAAGAUCUUCGACGUCAUGAUUCUGGCCUUCCGAUAUCUUUGCAUUUUCUCGGGUAACGGCUUCUCUUACACUUAUUCCUCUUUCCUCAGGUUGAAGCGGCCGCUCGAACAGGCCCAGCCCUCGAUGGCCAAGAGGCUUAAGGCGGGAGCGGCCUCCAAAGACUCAGGUUAGCGGUUCAUUCCCAAUAUCGUAUUACCUUUAUGUCGAUCAUCAUGGCGACUGACUUUUGCUUUUGAGUGCUUACAGGCUCCUCCGUUCCUCAGCCGCUGACGGGUGUCGAGAGCGCCUCGCCUCGUCCAUUGGUGGGGGAGUCCACCCUGCCGUCGCCGAAGCGAGUCGAGGCGCCUCGCCCCCAAGAGCAGGAGGGAGCCCCCGAGCCUCACCGGUCUGGGGUCGAGGGGGAUCCUAUCACUAUAAGUGACGGGUCUGGCGGCGACAGACUUUUGAAGGACGCCUGCUCCGCGGACGAGGAGGUCGAGGCUUCCCCUAUCGUGGAGCGGAGGCCUUGGCCCAUCGGGCUCCACUCCGUCGAGGAGAGGAGGAAGAAGGAAGAGGAAGAGCGCGAGCGGGAGAUGCAGCAAUAGCUGCAGCAGGGGCAGCAACAGCCACAGCAGGAAGAAGAAGAAGGAGUGGAGGGGAGGCAGCAACAAGGGGAACGGCUCGAGGAGCUGCUGGAGCAGGACUGACAGUAGGAGCUGCUCGAACUCUAGAGGCAGCAGCGACAACAAAGUCAGCAGUUAGAAAAACUGCUCGACCUGCCGUCGCGAAGCUCGCCCUAGCCAGGGCCACCGUCGCCACAGAGGCCUGAGACCGGGGAGGAGGGUCUGCCGGUCUAUGGUCUGCCGACCCCUGCAUGGCUCCGUCCGGGAGCGCCCGCUUCUAUCCCGGCUGAGCCAGGGCGGGCUGACGGCGUGGCGGCACUUGCUUACAUGAUGCGCACCCCGGUGGACCCUCAAUCCGAGAUCAAGGGCACGAUCUACGGCAUCGAGGGGAUCGCUCCUGGAUUCCAUGGAGAGCGUCGAUCGUGGGAGGAUUGCAUUCCCGCUGAGGAAGACGAAGCCGGGACGUCGGGCGGUGGUGGUGCCAGCGAGACCGGGACUUGGAAGACCGUGGAUGACGACGGGCGAUUCCCCUCCCUCAUUGACCUAUUUUUGCGUCACGGGGGGUCGCUCGAGACCGUCCAAGAGCUCAUCCGGGGUGUCAAGGCACGCGUGGAGGAGGAGAUGGAAAACUGGUGCCCCGAUCGGAUCGGCAUUCGAGCCUCCACCGACCCGUCCGAGCCUAACAUCUUUUUGGAUGAUCGGAAGGAAGCCGAAAAGUGGGAGCAUCUCGAGGAGCUUCGCCUCUGGAUGAAGCACGUGGUGGGGCUCCUGUCCGACGUCGUCAACAACAGGCUCGGUCCGGCUUACUUUGUAAGUGUCUUUGGGCCUUAACUACCAUAGGACGUUUGGUUUUGUGUUCUUACUGACCAACUGCUAACUCGCAGGAUCUGAAAGAGACCUCCCGUAUAAAGUCGAGCUUUAUCCACGCGACAAGGGGCGGCUGGGAGCAACUCCCUCUCCUCAAGGACCAACUCCUAGAGUCACAGGAGAAGCUCCUCAAGGCUUACAAGGAGCUUUUGGCGCUCGAGGAGGAGAAGAAGGAGAGGGAGGCCGCUCUGGCCAAAGCUCGGGAGGCCUCGAGGAAGGCGGUGGAAGAGGCCACGCUGCUGAGGGAGCGGACCAUGACGGUCGAGGAGGCUGCGUCCAAGGCCCAAGAAGAGGCCGCAUUCUAUAAAGAAGCUGCCGUCGAUCUUGACAAGGAAAAGGUCCUUAUCAAGGCUGACCUUGCCUCUGCCUGAGAAGCCUUCCAAAAGAUGAAGGCAGAGUGCAUGAAGGGCGAGAUUGCCCGGAGCACCACAGAGGAGGCCAAGAAGAAGGCCCUCGACGAUCUCGAGGCGGAGCGGGCUCGAUCUCGCAGCCUCUCUACUGACGUCGAUCGUCUGAAGAGAGCGUUGCUGGAGAAAGACAGAGCCAUCGCACAGGCAGGCAAGGCGAUUGAGUACUUGUGGGUCGCCAAUAUUGACCUGGUCUGUUCUCAUAGGGAGAUCGAGAGGGCCAACACUGAUUUGGUUGGCGUGAACACGGCUCUGGAGGAGAAAAUUCGUGGUAUAUUUCUACCAUCGUGUUUCUUUCCCAGGGUGUGCUUUGUGUUGUCUAACUUCUUUGUGUCGGCCUUUGUAGGGCUUAAAGACGAGCAAUUGGCUGCUCAGGUCGAGGCCCGCUCCACCAAGGCUCACCUCGAGGGGGAGGUCGCUUUGAACGGUCGGCUGCGGACUGCGAUAAGUGAUCUUUCGGCCUCUUGGGAGCUCGAGCCUGUAGACGAGUCGAGGGAGGCGGCUCGAGGCGACGCACUGGUCCAUCAGCUGUGCUACCUAGGCGCGACGCUGAGGGAACGAGUGUGGGACGCUCUUCAUACCGAAGUGAAGCGGGCAAUGGCAGUUGUUUGCUCAGGCUUUUCUUACGAUAUGGAGGUGGUGUCCCAUGGCUUCAUCACCGACAUCUCCAAGACCGACGCAAAGAAUGAGGAGAGGCUCCACGCCUUGAUCGAUGAUGUGGAGGCCCCUGGGGAAAGGCUAGCGAAGCUGUUUGAGCCGAAAGUGCUUCCUCCCAAGACUAGCUCGGGCGUGGACGAGGGUGGUGAGGGCCGUGACACAGACUGAGGCCUGCGAGCCUAUGCUGGGUGCUAAGGCCCCUUGUACAGUACUUUUGUCUUAAGGAAAUGCUAUAUUUUUUAAGUGGUUUAAAAGGCCUCUGAAUACUUGCUUAUUCCUAUGUUCGCACCCUCUUUUGUUUCCUUUCUGCCUACGUCUAUAUUCCCUGUUUGGUCUUUUGUUAAGGCGACCUCGAUUGCCUCAAGGGUGAGGGAGCGAGUAGAGUUACCAUAGCCCGGGGGCGUAGGAGUUCUCAGGCUUGUCGUCUCUCGGCCCUUAAGGUGCUCUAGGUGCUUCUACUACUCGACCGUGUGAGGUUUACUGGUAGGAAAGAAAAAAUCACUUGGUUUUUUAGACACUUGGGGGGGAGUCCCCCCUGCUAGCCUCCGAGGGGGUAUCGACUAUGAUGGGUCAUAGUUGGUACUCCCUUCUAACAUUGAGACUUUGAUCGACAAAAAAGUAAAUUACUCGAAAAAAAGAUCUUAUUCAUUAGUGCGAUCAUUCGUAAGAUCUUCACACAGAAUGUACAUGAGAGCAUAAAGCUUUGAAAUUCUAGGGGUAGAAUCGACGUAGCUAUUCGAUGUUCCACACGUUGGUGAAGAUUGCCCCUUUUUCAUCCGUGAGCUUGUAUGUCCCCGGCUUCAGGACCUCGGCCACCACAUAUGGGCCCUCCCAGGGCGGAGUCAGCUUGUGGCAUCCUCGGUUGCUUUGCCGCCGACGUAGGACAAGAUCGCCCACGUUCAGAUCUCUCUUGCGCACGUGCUUGUCGUGAUAACGUCGAAGCUUCUGCUGGUAUCUGGCGGAGUUGAGGAGGGCCAUGUCUCGAGCUUCUUCGAGCUGGUCGACUGCGUUCUCUCGACUCUCCUUGUUUCCUGCUCGUUGUAGGCUUUGAGUCGAGGGGACCCAUACUCAAGGUCUGUUGAGAGCACGGCCUCGGAGCCGUAGACCAUGAAGAAUGGGGUAUACUUUGUGGCCCUGCUGGGCGUCGUCCUCAAGCUCCAUAGGACCGAAGAGAGCACUUCGACCCAUUUCUUGCCGAAUUUAUUCAACCAGUUGUAAAUUCUUGGUUUGAGCCUCUGCAAUAUCAUGCAGUUGGCACGCUCGACCUGGCCGUUAGUUCGAGGGUGAGCCACUAUCGACCAGCUCACACAGAUGUGAUGCCGGUCACAGAAGUCCAAGAAAUUUUUGCCGGUGAACUGAGUGCCGUUGUCGGUGAUGUUGACGUUGGGGAUCCCAAACCGAUGGAUGAUGUCGGUGAAGAAAAGGACAGCUUGCUCGGAGCGGAUGUUUGUGAUAGGUCGAGCCUCGAUCCAUUUGGAGAAUUUGUCGAUGGCCACCAGCAGAUGGGUGUAUCCUCCUGCCGCUUUCUGGAGAGGACCUACGAGGUCGAGACCCCACACCACGAAUGGCCACGUGAUAGGGAUCAUUUGGAGGGCAUGAGCGGGGAGAUGCGUCUGCUUGGCAUAAAAUUGGCGCCCAUGGAAUGAGCGUACGAGCUCUAUGGUGUCAGCUACGGCCGUUGGCCAGUAGAAGCCUUGUCGGAAAGCGUUCCCUACGAGGGUCCGUGGAGCGGCGUGGUGGCCACAAGCCCCCGAGUGUAGAUCCUCGAGGAGCUUUCGGCCUUCUUCUAUGGUGAUGCAGCGCUGCAAAAUUCCCGUCGGGCUUCGUCAGUAUAGUUCAUUAUUGUCGCCAUAGAUUACAUAUGAUUUGGCCCGUCGAGCAAUACCGCGGGCCUCAGAUCGAUCCUCUGGUAACUCGCAUCGAAUUAGGCAAUCGAGGAACGGCGUGCGCCAGUCGAACGGUCGACCGGGCCGCUAUUCCACCUCCAUUACCUCAGCAGCCGCUAGUAACGCUUCGAUGGUGUCGGUUUGUUGGAGGGCGGUGGUUUCGACGCCAGCCCCCAAGCCGAAGUCGACAGAUGGCUCGUACAGAUCUCUUGAGAACGCAUCGGGGGUGUCCGUACCUCGAGUCGAGGCGAUCUUGGCGAGUUCGUCAGCUGCCUCGUUGUAGCGUGGAGCGAUGUGGACGAGCUCGAGGCUGUGGAACUUGUCCUCGAGUUGACGUACCUCCCUACAGUACGCCUCCAUUUUUGGGUCGUGGCAGUUGGAGGCCUUCAUCACUUGGUCGAUGACGAGUUGGGAGUCGCCUCGAACGUCGAGGCAUCGAACUCCUAGCUCGAUGGCGAUCUUCAGGCCGUUGACAAGGGCCUCGUACUCCGCGACAUUGUUGGACGCAGCAAAAUGUAUUCUGAUGACGUACCUCAUAUGGACGCCAAGGGGCGAGAUGAAUAACAGACCCGCCCCAGCUCCCGUCUUCAUGAGAGACCCGUCGAAGUACAUCGUCCAUAGCUCCGCUUGAACUUGAGCCGUGGGGAGCUAGGAGUCCGUCCAUUUCGCGACAAAAUCCACCAGAGCCUAAGACUUGAUGGCUUUGCGGGGCGCAUAAGUGAGGGUCUCACUCAUGAGCUCAACCGACCAUUUGGCUAUUCUUCCCGUGGCCUCCCGACUUUGGAUGAUCUCACCCAAGGGGAAUGACGAGACCACCGUGAUAGGGUGGCCGAGGAAGUAGUGUUGUAGCUUGCAUCGGGCAAGGAUCACCGCAUAGAUUAGCUUCUAGAUCUGCGGAUACCGUGCCUUGGUCUCUGAGAGUACCUCGCUGAUGAAGUAGACCGGCCUCUGUACCGGUAGCGCAUGCCCUUCUUCCUGCCUUUCGACCACUACCGCUGCACUAACCACUUGGGUUGUCGAGACGGCGUACAGAAGCAGAGGUUCUGCGGGCUGAGGUGGGACCAAGACCGGGGCAGAGGUAAGCAUUUUCUUCAGGUUUUCGAGGGCUUCUUCGGCUUCAGGGGUCCAAGAGAAACGCUCAGCUUUUUUCAGGAGCCGGUAUAGUGGCAAUGCCUUCUCCCCCAACUUUGAGAUAAAACAACUUAGCGCCGCCAAACAUCCCAUGACUUUUUGCACUCUCUUGACAUCUCGGAUCGCCCCCAUUCUCGUAAUGGCCGAGACUUUCUCAGGAUUGGCCUCGAUGCCGCGUUGGGAAACUAUGUAACCCAAGAGCAUGCCUCGAGGUACGCCAAAGACGCACUUCUCGGGGUUGAGCUUGAUCUUGUUGGCGCAUAAGCAACUAAAAGCGAUCUUGAGGUACUGAAUCAGGUCUCCUCGUUUCUUUGACUUGAUGACGAUGUCGUCGAUGUAUGCCUCGACCGUCGACCCUAUAUGUUUGCCAAACAUGUGGAGCAUGCAUCGCUGGUAUGUCGCUCCCGCGUUCCGGAGCCCGAACGGCAUGGUCACGUAACAGUACAUCCCAAAAGGAGUGAUGAAAGAUGUCGCGAGCUGGUCGGACUCUUUCAUUUUUAUUUGAUGGUAACCAAAAUAUGCAUCAAGGAAAGAAAGGGUUUCGCAUCCCGCAGUAGAAUCAACAAUUUGAUCGAUACGUGGUAAUGGAAAAGGAACUUUCGGACAUGCUUUUUUUAAACUAGUAUAAUCGACACACAUCCUCAUUUUCCCAUUCUUUUUCUUAACUAGUACAGGGUUUGCUAACCAGUCGGGAUGGUGAACCUCCUUGAUGAAUCCGACCAUCAAAAGCUUGUGGAUCUCCUCGGCAAUGAUCUUUCGUUUCUCCUCGUCGAAGCGACGCAACCGUUGUUUCACUGGCUUGGAACCGGCUCGAAUUUCCAAGGAGUGUUCGGCGACUUCCCUCGGUAUGCCUGGCAUGUCCGAGGGACUCCAUGCAAACAUGUCAGCGUUUGCACGGAGAAAGUCGACGAGCACGGCUUCCUAUUUGGGGUCGAGGUCGGCGCUGAUCGUUAGCACCCUGCCGUCGGAGUUGUUGUGGUCGUGUGGGAUCUUCUUCGUUCCUUCUACCGGCUCAAAGCUACCCGCGUGACACUUGGGCUCUAGGGCCUCUGCGACCAGGGCCUCGAGCUUCGAGGCGAGCUCAGCGGAGCUCUCGACAGCUUCCCCAUACUCGACGCACUCCUUGCCGCAAAGACCUCGCGGCGUUCCCUCUUGCGCUGCCUUGCAGUUAGCUGCGUCGAGGGUCCAACACAGAUCAUGUAGCAGUCGUGGAUGGCUUGGAAACCUUCGUCGUCUUUGUCGUCCCCCUUGUCGCUGCCCUUUUCUUUCUUCUGGUCGUCCUUUAUGAAUCCCAGGCCGUCGAAAUGCCUCUUCAGCAUGCGGCAAUCCUCGAGCUUGUGGUUCGCCCAUCCCUUAUGGUAAGGGCAGGUCUCCUUCAGCAUCUUGUCGAAGAUGGCUCCUUCAGGGGGCCUCGAGGUCUUUUAUGAUCCAUAGCGGCAAUGAGGUCGUCGUCGAGGGCCUCCCGUUGGAACGGUCGUGCUUUCUUCUUCUUCUUCUUGUUCUUCUUGGGUCCUCGACUGGGCCCUCAUCGUCUUCGGCUGGCCACCUGCCUUUGCCACCUUCGUAGAUGAAGAAAGCACCAACCGCUUCCUCCCCUGUAGCGUAGUUUGCCACCACAUCCAUCAGUUCGUCGACGGUGUGAGGGCGAUUCCGGCCUAAUUCCCGCACUAAAUCUCGGCUGGUGGUGCCCGAGACGAAAGCCAGGAUGAUGUCGUGGUCUGGGAUGUGUGGCAGCUCGGUGCGUUGCUUCGAGAAGCGUCGAGCAUACUCUCGGAGAGUUUCCCCUAGCUUCUGCUUGCACUUGCUGAGGUCCCACGAGUUGCCAGGCCGUAUGUAGGUCCCCUUGAAGUUACCCUCGAAUACUCUGACCAAAUUGACCCAAUCGUGGAUCUGGUUGGCCGGGAGCUCCUCGAGCCAUCUACGGGCGGUGUCGGAGAGAAAAAGUGGCAACUAUUGGAUGAUAGCUCGAUCGUCCCCUCGAGCGCCUCCCAACUGACAAGCUAACCGGAAGUCUACCAACCAUAGUUCUGGCUUGGUCUCGCUGUUGUAUUUAGCAAUGCUAGUCGGGGGUCGGAACGGGCUGGGCAGCGGCGUGCUGCGGAUCACUCUGCUGAACACCCGAGGGCCCAGCGGUUCCGGGGCCAUCCGGUCCUCGUCGCUGUCGUACCGCCUGCCGCGGUGGGCGUUGUAACCGCGCUUUUUCGUGUCCCCACAUCGACAGCGACGAUUCUCGUUGAUGUCACAUCGUGCGUCGUGUCGUCGCUGAUUGUCGACGGGGUGGUUGAGGACGAGUGUUGUCUUCUUCCCUCGAGGGGGCGGUUGCCGAUGGACCGACACAUCCUUUUCGUUCUGGGCCGGAUCCUCACGCUUCUCCGUGGCUGCUCGUCGACGUCGAGAGGCCGAGCUCUCGGCCUGUUGAACUGCCGCCACUUGGAGUAGAGUCUACACCUCGUCUCGAAUGCGUCGCGCUUGGGAGUUCGAUGGUUCGGGCAUAUUUCGUAGCAACAUUGAUGCCGCCAUGACGUUCUGACCCGCUCGAGGGAAACGGCUGACGGGCUGCUCAGGCUCCCCGUCUCCAACGAUCUGUCGAUGCACUUCUCGAGCCCAUUUGCGGACACUUCCGCCAGGUGGGUAUGGCUGGUCCUGCUCGAGGAUCCGUUCAAGCAGGACAAGGCACUCGCGAUCUUCAUCGAGCUUUGCUUUGAGCUCCCGUAACUGCGCAAGUUGUGUGGCUUUGUCUUCUUGCGGAGGGGGGUCGACCUGACCAUCGUUCCCAGGUGUCCUGGGGUCCUCCCUUGCUGCGGGGGCUCGACCGCCGGCGACGUCGUCUUGCGUUUCAUCGGUGGUUUCUACACCCCCGUUGAUGAUGAAGCAUUCCCUAGUAGGGUCGUAGCUGUCGGACUCAGAGUCGGAGUCCAGCUCGGCGGCGUAGAAGCAUCCGCGUCCCUCCUCCAGCAGCCGUUGCCUGAGUGAGGUGAUUGUGUAUCGCCCAGGACCUAGGCGGCGAAGGCCUCAUACCUGAGAGAAAUCCGGCAGCUCGGAUGUCUAUUGUCGUGCUCCAGCGUCGCGUGGGAGGACCAUUAGUCUCUCCACGUAAGUUUGGGCGUUCGGACAUAUCGUCCUGGCGAGUGAUGCUGCCAUGUUGUCCAGACCGAACGGCAGCGCUCUUCUUGGGGCGAACAGCCCAUGUGGAAGUAGCGUCGUGGCAGGUGAGAAUGCACAAGGCGCGCCGUCUCCCAUCGUCGUCGUGAGAUCCUCGUGGCGUCGGGCCGUCAUACCCGCGGUUUCGGGGCGCGGGGCUGUCAGCUCCUGCGUCACCUCCCGCCUGGCACGAACUGGCGAUCACGACGAGGUAGAGGGGUGACGGUGGCGCUGUCCACGCCUCUUCUUGGGCGGGGAGGCGUGGUGGCGAGGCCGUCUGGGAGCCCUCAAUCGGGUGGGCGCAAUGCGAGCUCCUCCCGGUCCUUUGACCGAGAGCAGGAUCAUGUCGUAGCCGAAACCGGUGGACAUGAACUCGAGGCUCCCGAACUAAAUCACCGUGGAGCGCGGAAUCGGCGAAACAAGAGUGGCCAUCUGGAAAAAGAUGGGAAAUCGGUGAAAAACAAGCAGGACCCCUACCUAGCGCGCCAACUGUCGGUGUUUUCCCCCCGGGGGGUCACACCAACGAGAAAAACUAGUGCGUGCUCCCUUUUCCAGAUGGUGAUGCAAGAAAAGACACAAAGGUUUAUCCUGGUUCGGGCAAGAGAAGGCCCUAUGUCCAGCGGGGGGGGAGUGUUUGUAUUAUCUUGCAACGAAGUGCUUGGACAGGGGUGAAUACAGGCGUGGUAUGAACGGGGAUGGAGUAAGGUUGCUCUACUACAUAUGACUUGUGUUCUCCUGCGUAUCCACUCCCGGACCUCCCCUUUUAUAGUUCCAAGGAGAGGUCUAGGCUACAUACAUAGGCGACAGAAUAGGGGUCGAUAGGGUUUUGGCGUGCUGACCUACUCGAGGCCUCCGUACUGGCGUGGCCUCGAGCCAUCUUGUCUUGGUACUCUGAUGAUGAUUACGCGUGCCCCUAAAUCCUGCUCCUGUGCGCCGUCCUGGACCGGUUUAUCCGUUGCACGCUUGUACGUCGCGACUGUGGCCACGUCACAGUGGUUGAGGUGCCAUCCUCCGUUGCCUGAGCCUUCUCUAGGAAGGAACAUGUCUACUCGAGGGUCAAAUACCUCUUGAAGCCUUGCUGGGUAGAGCGCUGACUUUGGAUGUCUCAAGGGGGGUCUUGACGGGGCGUUCCGGCCCACUCCCUGCGCCCUGCCACACUCUGGCUCAUUUGGUGGGGAAGGCUGUAAAAAGAAUGACAGGACGGGUGCUUUUCCCUAUCACGCUUCCAGUGAUUGACGGGUUAGGUGAGAGCGCGGCAGGCGCAUUAAAUGCCAUGGUUCCCAUGCCCGUGUCAGGCGGCGGGCGGCGUCCUGGCACUCGAGCCCUUCGAUUCGUACGAGCCUGUUUCUGUAUUCGACGGUUACUGGCGCUCGAGCCCUAGUUGAUUCGCACGACAUCCUUUCCGUGUUCGAGGCUAUGGACGUUGAUAUCAGUGCGCGCGACCUGGGCGUCCAGUUGGGGGCCCUUGAUUUACGUAUGGGUGCUCUCAUCAUGAGCGUCGGUUAGGGUAUCCCUUAUUGGCACCCUCGACACGAUGGUAUUUCUAGGUCAAGGGGCUAAAGUGAAAGCUCGGUUUGGUCUGUUUGGAGAUAGUGCUAAUCAUGAUGCAAGAUAGAUGCACGGUUUGUAUGGAACAUACGAUAUGCUCAGAAAUCAAUUAGGAUCCACCUAAUAUAACUCCUUGAUGAUCUGUGUCAUAUGGAAUCUUGCUUUGGUUCGUUUAGAGACUGUUAGUUUUGGUAGAAGAUAUGUGCACAGUUUACGCCUAAUGCACCCGAUGGUACUUGUAGUUGAAGAGGCUCAAGUGGAGGCUCGAUUUGGAAUAUUCGGAUAUAGUGCUAAUCUUGAUGCAAGAUAGUUGCAUAGUUUGCAUGGAACGUACCAUAUGUUAAGAAAUCAAUUUAGAUGCACACAAUGGAACCCCUAGAUGACGUGUGUCAUAUGGAAUCUUGCUUUGGUCUGUUUGGAGACAAUGUUAGUUUCGGUGCAAGAUAGGUGCAUAGUUUGUGCCUAAUGCACCCUAAUCUAAGAAACCAUUUUUGACGCAUCUGUUUGUACUACUAGAUGAAGAGGCUCAAGUGGAAGCUUGGUUCGUUCUGUUUGGAGAUAGUGCUAAUCUUGAUGCAAGAUAGGUGGACGGUUUGCAUGGAACAUACCAUAUGCUUGGAAAUCAAUUUAGAUGCACCCGAUGGAACUCCUUGAUGACGUGUGUCAUAUGGAAUCUCGCUUUGGUCUGUUUAGAAACAGUGUUAGUUUCGGUGCAAGAUAUGUGCAUUAUUUGCGCUUAAUGCACCAUAGUCUAAGAAACCAUUUUGGAUGAACCUGUUGGUACUUCGGUGAAGAUGCUCAAGUGGAAGCUCGGUUUGAUCUGUUUGGAGAUAGUGCUAAUCUUGAUGCAAGAUAGGUGCAUGAUUUGCAAGGAACAUAUCAUAUGCUUAGAAAUCAAUUUGGACGCACACAAUGGACCACCUAGAUGACAUGUGUCAUAUGGAAUCUUGCUUUUGUCUAUUUGUAGACAUUGUAAGUUUUUGUGCAAGAUAGGUGCACAGUUUGUGCCUAAUGCACCAUAGUCUAUGAAACCAUUUUGGACGCACUAUUUGGUACUCUUGGAUGAAGAGGCUCAAGUGGAAGCUUGGUUCGGUCAGUUUGGAGAUAGUGCUAAUCCUUAUGCAAGGUAGGUGCAUGGUUUGCAUGUGCGAAUCCUUAUGCAAGGUAGGUGCAUGGUUUGCAUGGAACAUACCAUAUGCUUGGAAAUCAGUUUGGAUGCACCCGAUGGACCUCCUUGAUGACGUAUGUCUUAUGGAAUCUCGCUUCCGUCCAUUUGGAGACAUUGUUAGUUUCGGUGCAAGAUAGGUGCACAUUUUGCACCUAAUGCACCAUAGUGUAUGGAACCAUUUUGGACGCACUUGUUGGUACUUCUAGGUGAAGGGGCUCAAGUGGAUGCUCGGUUCAGUCUGUUUGGAGAUAGUGCUAAUCUUGAUGCAAGAUCGAUGCACAGUUUGCAUGGAACAUACCAAAUGCUUGGAAAUCAAUCUGGACGCACAUGAUGGAACUCCUAGAGGACGUGUGUCAUACAAAAUCUUGCUUUGGUCUGUUUGGAGAUAGUGUUAGUUUCGGUGCAAGGUUUGCACAGAAUACAGUAUAGGCUAAGAAACCAUUUUGGACGCACCCAAUGGUAGUCCUAGGUAAAAGGCUCAAGUGAAUGCUCGGUUUGGUCUAUUUGGAGAUAGUGCUAAUCUUGAUGCAAGAUAGAUGCACGGUCUGAAUGGAACGUACCAUAUGCUUAGAAUCUAAUUUGGAGACACCCGAUAGAACUCCUUGAUAACGUGUGUCAUAUGGAAUCUCGCUUUGGUGUGCUUAGAGACAGUAUUAGUUUCGGUGCAAGAUAUGUGCACGGUUUGCGCCUAAUGCACCAAAGUCUAAGAAACCAUUUUGGAAGCACCUGUUGGUACUCCUAGGUGAAGAGGCUCAAGUGGAGGCUCGGUUCGGUCUGUUUAGAGAUAGUGCUAAUCUUGUUGCUAGAUAGCUGCACGCUUUGCAUGGAACAUACCAUAUACUCAGAAAUCAGUUUGAAUGUACCCGAUCGAACACCUUGAUGACGUGUGUCAUAUGGAAUCUCGCUUCGGUCCAUUUGGAGACAUUGUUAGUUUCAGUGCAAGAUAAGUGCACAGUUUGCACCUAAUGCACCAUAGUCUAAGAAACAAUUUUGGACGCACUUGUUGGUACUCCUAGGUGAAGGGGCUCAAGUGGAUGCUCGGUUCGGUCUGUUUGGAGAUAGUGCUAAUAUUGAUGCAAGAUCGGUGCACGGUUUGCAUGGAACACACCAAAUGCUUGGAAAUCAAUCUGGACGCACAUGAUGGAACUCCUAGAUGACGUGUGUCAUACAAAAUCUUGCUUUGGUCUGUUUGGAGACAGUGUUAGUUUCGGUGCAAGAUAGGUGCAUGGUUUGUACAUAAUGCAGCAUAGGCUAAGAAAACAUUUUGGACACACCCGAUGGUACUCCUAGGUAAAAGGCUCAAGUGAAAGCUCAGUUUGGUCUAUUUGGAGGUAGUGCUAAUCUUGAUGCAAGAUAGAUGCACGGUCUGCAUGGAACAAACCAUAUGCUUAGAAAUUAAUUUGGACAUACCCAAUAGAACUCAUUGAUAACGUGUGUCAUAUGGAAUCUUGCUUUGGUGUGCUUAGAGACAGUAUUAGUUUCGGUGCAAGAUAUGUGCACGGUUUGCGCCAAAUGCACCAAAGUCUAAGAAACCAUUUUGGAAGCACCUGUUGGUACUCCUAGUUGAAGAGGGUCAAGUGGAGGCUUGAUUUGGUCCGUUUGGGUAUAGUGCUAAUCUUGAUGCAAGAUAGUUGCACAGUUUGCAUAGAACGUACCAUAUGUUAAGAAAUCAAUUUGGACGCACCCAAUGGAACUCCUAGAUAACGUGUGUCACAUGGAAUCUCGCUUCGGUCUAUUUGGAGACAAUGUUAGUUUCGAUAUAAGAUAAGUGCAUAGUUUGUGCCUAAUGCACCAUAGUCUAGGAAACCAUUUUUGACGCACCCGUUUGUACUCCUAGAUGAAGAGGCUCAAGUGGAAGCUCGGUUCGGUCUGUUUGGAGAUAGUGCUAAUCUUGAUGCAAGAUAGGUGCACGGUUUGCAUGGAAUAAACCAUAUGCUUGGAAAUCAAUUUGGAUGCACCCGAUGGAACUCCUUGAUGACGUGUGUCAUAUGGAAUCUUGCUUCGGUCUAUUUAGAAACAGUGUUAGUUUCGGUGCAAGAUAUGUGCAUGGUUUGCACAUAAUGCAGCAUAGGCUAAGAAACCAUUUUGGACGCACCCGAUGGUAGUCCUAGGUAAAAGGCUCAAGUGAAUGCUCGGUUUGGUCUAUUUGGAGAUAGUGCUAAUCUUGAUGCAAGAUAUAUGCACGGUCUGGAUGGAACUUACCAUAUGCUUAGAAAUUAAUUUGGACACUACCGAUAGAACUCCAUUAUGACGUGUGUCAUAUGGAAUAUCGCUUUGGUGUGCUUAGAGACAGUAUUAGUUUUGGUGCAAGAUAUGUGCACGGUUUGCGCCUAAUGCUCCAAAUUCUAAGAAACCAUUUUGGAAGCACCUGUUGGUACUCCUAGGUGAAGAGGCUCAAGUGGAGGCUCGGUUCUGUCUAUUUAGAGAUAGUGCUAAUCUUGAUGCAAGAUAGGAGCACGAUUUGCAUGGAACAUACCAUAUGCUUAGAAAUCAAUUUGGAUGCACCAGAUGGAACUCCUAGAUGACGAGUCAUAUGGAAUCUCACUUCAGUCCAUUUAGAGACAGUGUUAGUUUCGGUACGAGACAGGUGCACUGUUUGCACCUAAUGCACCAUAGGAUAAGAAUCCAUUUUGGACGCACCCGAUGGUACUCCUAGGUCUAGGGGCUCAAGUGAAAGCUCUAUUUGGUCUUUUUGGAGAUAGUGCUAAUCUUGAUGCAAGAUAGAUGCACGGUUUCCAUGGAAAAUACGAUAUGCCUAGAAAUCAAUUAGGACACACCUAAUAUAACUCCUUGAUGAUGUGUGUCAUAUGGAAUCUUGCUUCGGUUCGUUUAGAGACAAUGUUAGUUUUGGUAGAAGAUAUGUGCACGGUUUACGCUUAAUGCACCAUAGGCUAAGAAACCAUUUUAGACGCACCCGAUGGUACUCGUAGUUGAAGAGGCUCAAGUGGAGGCUCGAUUUGGUCUGUUCGGAUAUAGUGGUAAUCUUGAUGCAAGAUAGUUGCAUAGUUUGCAUGGAACGUACCAUAUGUUAAGAAAUAAAUUUGGACGGACCUAAUGGAACUCCUAGAUGUCGUGUGUCAUAUGGAAUCUUGCUUCGGUCUGUAUGGAGACAUUGUUAGUUUUGGUGCAAGAUAGGUGCAUAGUUUGUGCCUAAUGCACCAUAGUCUAAGAAACCAUUUUUGACGAACCUGUUUGUACUCCUAGAUGAAGAGGCUCAAGUGGAAGCUCGGUUUGCUCUGUUUGGAGAUAGUGCUAUUCUUGAUGCAAGAUAGGUGUAUGAUUUACAAGGAACAUACCAUAUGCUUAGAAAUCAAUUUGGACGCACCCAAUGGAACUCCUAGAUGACGUGUGUCAUAUGGAAUCUUGCUUCGGUCCGUUUGUAGACAUUGUAAGUUUUAGUGCAAGAUAGGUGCAUAGUUUGUGCCUAAUGCACCAUAGUCUAAAAAACCAUUUUGGACGCACUAUUUGGUACUCCUAGGUGAAGAGGCUCAAGUGGAAGCUUGGUUCGGUCAGUUUGGAGAUAGUGCUAAUCCUUAAGCAAGGUAGGUGCAUGGUUUGCAUGGAACAUACCAUAUGCCUAGAAAUCAAUUUGGAUGCACCCGAUGGAACUCUUUAAUGAUGUGUGUCGUAUGGAAUCUCGCUUCGAUCCAUUUGGAGACAUUGUUAGUUUCGGUGCAAGAUAGGUGCACAGUUUGCACAUAAUGCACCAUAGUCUAAAAAACCAUUUUGGACGCACUUGUUGGUACUCCUAGGUGAAGGGGCUCAAGUGGAUGCUCGGAUCAGUCUGUUUGGAGAUAGUGCUAAUCUUGAUGCAGGAUAGGUGCACGGUUUGCAUGGAACAUACCAAAUUCUUGGAAAUCAAUCUGGACGCACAUGAUGGAACUCCUAGAUGACGUGUGUCAUACAAAAUCUUGCUUUGGUCUGUUUGGAGACAGUGUUAGUUUCGGUGCAAGAUAGGUGCAAGGUUUGUACAUAAUGCAGCAUAGGCUAAGAAACCAUUUUGGACGCACCCAAUGGUACUCCUAGGUAAAGGCUCAAGUGAAAGCUCAGUUUGGUCUAUUUGGAAGUAGUGUUAAUCUUGAUGCAAGAUAGAUGCACGGUCUGCAUGGAACGUACCACAUGCUUAGAAAUUAAUUUGGGCACACCCGAUAGAACUCAUUGAUGACAUGUGUCAUAUGGAAUCUCGCUUUGGUGUGCUUAGAGACAGUAUUAGUUUCGGUGCAAGAUAUGUGCACGGUUUGCGCCAAAUGCACCAAAGUCUAAGAAACCAUUUUGGAAGCACCUGUUGGUACUCCUAGUUGAAGAGGCUCAAGUGGAGGCUUGAUUUGGUCUGUUUGGGUAUAGUGCUAAUCUUGAUGCAAGAUAGUUGCACAGUUUGCAUGGAACGUACCAUAUGUUAAGAAAUCAAUUUGGACGCACCCAAUGGAACUCCUAGAUAACAUGUGUCAUAUGGAAUCUCGCUUCGGUCUGUUUGGAGACAAUGUUAGUUUCGAUACAAGAUAGUGUUGACGGUCCUUAAGUAUCAAAUUUAACUAUCAAAUAAACAAAGAAAAGGAUCCAAAUGAAAUCAACAUCAAGACUUAGGGUUUUAUCUGACAGAAUUCCACGAGUUUUGGUGUUUGUCUAUUUCUGCAGGGGGUUAUCAGGAAAUAUGGAAGAAAGGCCCACAUGUCGGGAUUACGUAAAGAUAUUAACGUGCUGCGCAAUUAUCUUACAUCUAGAAGACUCCAGAAGCCACGAGACCGAAGCGGAGGCGAAACGGGGCCAGAGACAGGGCGCCCGCCCACCUCCUGUAGCCAAUCACGCUCAAUCUCGCGGAUUAUGCUCCACCGACCUAAAGGAUCAAGAAUAACCGUUCAAUCAAUGUCGGUUUGAUCCGACGGCCCAGGUUCACUUGAGGGGACUAUAAAACCAGACCCCCUGGCCCCUGGAGGAGGCACCCCCCUUGAUCAUUAUUCAUUAUUCAUAGACAGAGCAAAAGCUAGGGUUUAGAGAUGAGAGCUCUCCUCUCUUCUCUAAACUAGAGUAGAUCUAGAUAGUAGCGAGAUGGAGAGCGAAGGAGGAUUAGAGGAGAGGCCGGCCUGUCGGUUCUUCCUCCGGUUGUACUUCGCCAUGAUCAAGCUCUAAUCAAGCUUGCUCAUGGGAUGACUCUGGUAAUCUACUUCUAAUUCAUUAUGCAAUUACUAAUCAUGUAUGUUCUGGUUCACAACUCUUUUGAGUACUUCUAAUCUAUAGGACCCUAUAGGUUAGAGUUGUAGUAUAGGUGUAAGCGUGGUGCUUAGACCUAGAUUACUUGUGGAUAUCCCCUGACUAGCUGGAUCGUGUGGUAGGCCGCGUAGGUGACAGUUAUGUUGGUCCCCUAUAGUCCACCUCUCGUUAGCAGGACGGGUAGGGUUUAUCGGCCUAUGGAUAAGCAUCCUUUGUGGUGUACUCUUAUCACGUGGUUCGUCCCAGACAUAGACAUACCCCUUUGAAGUAGAGAAACCAUAGUUAUCCUCUCUAUUCUGCUACCAUCGCCCAUAUACUAGAAUUGCUCUAUUCUCUAUUCCCAUAUUAUCACUUACUGUUAUCUUACCUUUAAUAUUGUUCUUAUUCGAUUCUAUCAUCUUUCCUAUUUACACCUAUCUAUCUAUCUUGGUUAAGUUAGAGCGUAGUUGGUUCUCCCGUUUCCCUGUGGAUACGAUAAAACCUUUAACCGGGUAAAAGCUUCAACGGUAUCCGUGCGCUUGCGGAUUAUCUGUGUGCGUAUAAAUACCAUAGUACACUCUAGUGCCAUGCUGGGGAUGACAACCUAGUAUUCAAGUGGUGUUAGCAAGUGUCAACAAGCAUUUUUAGCGCCGUUGCCGGGGAAACGGUUGCUGAGUUGACUACAAACUAGUUUAAUCAUUUUAUAAAAAAAAAAUAAUAUAUAACAAAAAUAUUUUCCUUUUAUCCUUUGCCUCAUCUCUGCUAUUCUUUCUUCUUAUCUAAUCCUUGAUCUCUGGUCUAUUAUGAAUUCAAACAUGUCUAUCUAUGAAUUUCAUAGACCUAUGGGCACACAUCUCGAACCACCAAAAUCUUCAAAGCCUAUCGUAGCAUCUAGUUUUGAGAUAGACCCCGAAUACAUAGAAUUUAUUCAAAAACAACCUUUCUCAGGAGAAGGUGAGGAAAACCCAUACACACACCUAAGAGAGUUUUAUCGAGUCUGUGACCUCCUUCGCAUAGAAGGCAUGUCCGAUGAGAACCUUAAAUGGAAGCUCUUUCCGUUCUCUUUAACGGGAAAAGCUAGACAUUGGUAUAAACUCAAAGUAGGGAGUGUUCAUGGAGAUUGGAAGGAGUUAUAUAGUAGUUUUCUUUCUAAAUAUUUUCCAAUCUCCAAAGUGGUGGAACUUCGGCGUGAGAUUCUUUCUUUUAGACAACUGGAAGAAGAAUCUCUUGGCAAAUCAUGGGACCGCUUUAUUAACCUUACUCUCACUGGCCCAAAACUUUCUAUUCCAAAAGAAGUUCUUCUAAUUCACUUUUUUGAGGGCCUUAGUAGGAAAAAUAAGCAAACCCUUCAUGCGGCCUCUGGAGGAUCCUUCUAUCACCUACCUGCUAGUGAAGCUAGGGAUUUAAUUGAUUCAUUGAGUGGAAAGUUUCCUAGCAUUUAUAUCCCUGAGAAAGAGACAGAACCAGUUCCUAGACAAGGAGAAGAAGUUUCGAUAGCCAGAUCCCAAACUUUAGCUAUCGAUCCUAAACCAUCAAUACCCCAAAAUUCUCCAAGGGAGGAAGGAAUUCCGACCUUAAAUCUUUUAGAUGCUGAUGGUUUAGACUUCUGGUUCUAUAAGAGACCUUCAAGCAGGGAUAAUUCAAAUCAUUGCAAUAAUGGUUCUCUUAGAGAAUAUCCUGGUUCCUUUUAUGAAGAAGUCGAGGAUGACAUAUCAAGUGAAGGAGAGCUAAGCCAUAUAGACAAUUCUAUCUACUCCCCUUCCAUGUUCACAAGUUCUAAAUCCAUCCUUGACCUUAGAGAUCCCUCUUAUCCCUCUUCUUUUCAGUCUCAUGAUGAUCCUAGCAAUUCACCAAGACGACCAAACCAUAAGAGUCAUGAAGACCAUAAGGAUGGCAUGUCAAGUAAUGCCAUAGAAGGAGAGCUAAGCCAUAUAGAAAAUUCUAACACCUCCCCUAUUUUGAUCACAAGUUCUAAAUGGCUAGAAUGUGUAGAAUGGAUGGAUAAGGAAGAAGCCUUAAUGGGUUCUCACUUUGGCUCAAUUUCAAAUGGUGAGUUCUUGACUCCCUUUGAAGAUGAGAUUCAUCCAACUACAGAAGAGGACAUAGGUGAGACCAAUCCAGGAGAAACUCCGAACAUUCAGAUUAGAGACGAAGAUAACAUUAAUGAGCACGGAAUUUAUUUCAUAGCCACUUCGUUUACUCCAUGCUCAUAUGCAACAUCUUCCCAAUCUAUUGGUCUCUCCGACAUCACCACACUUGAGAUCUCCAACCUCCUCUUCCUUUCUAUUUAUAAAAACUUUAAAAGGGCGGUUGUCGAUGCAUAUGUCUAUAAUAAAUAUUGCAGAUCUCAUUGAGUUGAUCUAGAUAUAGGUUGGCGUCGGAGGGGAAACCACUUCGCCAACAUAAACUGAUGGUUUCCCAAGGACAAGCUUAGUGUCUUAAAACAAGCACUGAUCAGAUCGUAACAUGAGCUUUUAAUUAUUUGCAACAUUACCUUGUGUAUUGAGCAUAUAAGGAUAAUUGCAAAAAAAUAUUCCUUCGGGUAUUCUUGUCACUAACCUUUCUAGGAUUGGAGCAAGAAGAUCGGAUGAAUGACAAGCACAAGGUAUGUCCAACCAAUCAUCAUACAAUAUUGAAUUAAAUUCAUCCAAACUUGAAUUUUGCAAAAUUCAAGCUUGGGGGAGUACUUUACAUAAAAACAUCCUUUUCCAUGUUGCUAUGCUGGUUGUCCCUACCUUUGAGACAUGCUCAAUUUGUUAAAUACUAAUCACACUACUUCAUCUCCACUUGAGUAGAUCUCUAUAAACGCUCUCAUGCUACCUUUAUUUGCUUUAGUAUAUGUCUAGGUUUGGAGUAGUUUCAUUUAUCUCUUAAUUAAGCAUGGUGCUUAGUUUAGGAAUGAUGAUCUUACUUCCAUGGGAUUUUAAAUUAAGCAUGGUGCUUAGGUUAAAAUGCCCUCCUCAAUCAAAUUAGACAUGGUGUCUAGGUUGAUUUUUGAGCCGAUAGUAUGCUAUAGUAGAUAUUGGAUAUUUUGUUGGACUAACCCCUGCAGGAAAACUUUCAAUAUCGACCUGGGAAGUCCUGAGAUAAACUCACAUUGGAGACAAAGAGAGAGACACAUGAAGUUUAACAAUUUACACAAGGAAAGCAUAGCUCACAAGAGAUGAUCCAUGGAAGGUGCCACAAACACGAUGCACAACCGCUAAGAAAGGAAAGCUUCCACAAGGUGAUACUGUACCAUCACUUUUCAAGUAAGGUAACAUCUUAAGGUACUUGGCCAUCACUUUUAUAAGCUUAUCCUUAUUUUUGGCGUUCACAUGAAUAAAAGAGACAAAUAUGUAUGAUUUACAACUCUAGAUUAACCAACCCAAUCGAUUCAACAUGUUUAGUCCUUCCACCUUUGUGAUCCCACAAUCCUAAUCAUAUGAGCUAAAAUGUUGCACACGUAAUCUUUGGAAGAUAUAUAUAAAAAGAAAACAUAAGCAUAGAUAGAUUAUCUUUCCAUUAGGUUGAGCGAUCUGAUGUGACAAAUGUUUUAAAUGUUGCACUCAUGAUCUUAUUAUCCAUCAACUUUGUCUUGCUCACUAUGCUUAAGGUUAGAGAGAACAAAUAUACUUUUGGUUCUGUUGGUGUUUUCCACCAACAGGGCCCAUGCACUUGAUCUCUGCCUUGUCUCUAUGAGCAGGUACACUUUGAGCAAAAUAUGAAGGAGUUUUUCAACUCCCAGACUACACCAAGUGAAGAACCUAGAUCCACGAGCAUAACCACACUAGAGAUACUGGACACUCAGGCAAUCACUGCCCUGAGAUGCUUGAGGACGUAACUACUGGAGUAACCCUGUUGUGGAAGUAAUUACUGACCUUCUACCGGUCAAGAGAGGCAAUCCAGGACGCCCCGUCAUCCCGAUCUCUAUCGGCAUGGUGGACUUCCUAGAAGCACUCUGCGACUUUGGCUCCAGCGUCAACAUUAUGCCCAGGGUACUCUAUGAAAAAUUCUUUACACAUCCUUUAUGAGAAACAACCUUGUAUUUGCAGCUUGCAGAUCGGACACUAAGUUUUCCAAAGGGAAUAUUGAAGAACCUCUACGUCCGAGUUGGUACCUUAUACGAUCCAGCAGACUUCGUGGUGAUAUAGACCGGUACUGAUGAGAGGGCACCCAUCCUAUGGAGGCCAUUCCUGAACACCUCAGGAGCUGUCAUCUACGCUAGUGCUGCCAAGAUCAGUUUCUACAUCAAGGGGAGGAAGGAGACGUUUUCCUUCAAGAACAAGACUACACAAAUCUCAGAGCAAUCCUGACAUGAACCAAGGAAGAGGACCAACAGGAGGGACAGGAACAAGCAAAUGUGGACCAAGUCAGCUUAUAUGGUCACUGCAGUUCAAGGAGGUCAAGAUCGUCGACUUAAGUCACCGUUCCAGACCAAAAAGGACGACCCAAGUAUGCCAAGCAUCCAGUGCUCCAUGAAUGGAUAGAACUUCCAGAAGAUGCUUUGCAACACCGGGUCAGGCGUCAACAUAAUGGCCGCAGCCACCUAUCAGCUCCUGUUCAGAACCAUGCCCCGAAAACAGACAUACAUUCAGCUCCAGAUGGUAGAUCAGACAUUCCGAAAGGUUGAAGAUGAGUACGAUCCACCCAUCAUUCCUCGGCACUGUUAAAGCAAUCAUUUACAUUGGAACCGGAGAAGUCCACAUGCACUUCCCCUCAGAGAAGGUACGCCACUAUUUCACUGACCCUAACUAUAUAGUUGAAGACUCUAAGCAUACUCUAAGCAGAUCAGGACAAGAAGCCGACGCAACCGUAACCAGAGGAGGCAAAUCAUCAAGGACGGAUGGGCAGACUACGAAGGAGAAGUUGUAAGGUCUGAAGACUUACAGCUUGAACAGAACUGUCCUGAGGAGACCGUAGCACCGAGGCAGGUGUGGAGAGAGAAAAUAGUUAUAAAUGAAGAGCAGGCGCCACCGGAACCACCGACUACGCCAUCGAGCAAAUCCCAGGACAACUGAGAAAACGGAGAGUCCCGUUCGGAGGACUUAAAAACACUGAACGUCUUGCCAAGAGGUAACCUUAGUAGUUAUCCUUUCUCUUUCAAUUAUUUAAAAUAGUUUACUUAAUUAGUUAUAUUUAUACUAUCCUAAAAAGAAAAUAAAAAUGUUAAAAAACAGUAAGCCCCAUGUGAGUAUACGAGUGGCAUGAAACCCAUAAGUACAUUCACUGUGGUGGCAUAAAAAUAAAAUAAAUAUUUCUUUUCUGCUUUAUAAAAUGAAAAUAUAAAAAUAGAGAGUAAGAUUGAGGAGACUCAACAUGAUAAAGGCUAGAUAUUUAUGCUAACACUUAAUCAGUUCCACAAGCUUUGUUGUCUAUUUGAGCUCCAUAGAAAUCAAGAAUCAAGAAGACUAGCAGACGGAGGACAUUCUAAUCGCUGUCAGGAUACUCCCGACUUUCAAAUACAUCUCUGCCACCUGCUAGCUACAUCAAGAGAAAUUACGUCAAAAUUCACCUUGGGGGAGAGCACCCCCAUUUACCCCGAUAAGUAUUUCUAUCUAUCUUUAUACUUAUACUAUAUUAAUAUAUAAAUAUACAUAACUAUAAAAAACCAAAUAAAUAUUUUAUGCUUAUAUAUAUCUUUCGCUUAGUGUGUUUAAUAAAUAAAUAAAAUGGCUAUGCUAAACUAUAUCUAAAUAAAACUCUAGCAUGGAUAUGAUGAAUAGUUGCUCUGCCUAAUUUACAAAUUUGAAGUUCUCUCACUAGUUUAGAUAUAACUGUUAUAAUUUAAAGCUUGCUCUAAACCUAAACUUGUGGGAUGAAAACUUGAUCUGAAGUCUAAGUUGUUAACGGAUACGAUAUGGGAAGGUUGGGCUGUUGUUUAUCUGUUCCUAGAGAUGCUAAAAUUCUGGAGAAUUUUAUCUUUUAGAAUCUUUAAAAUAACACAUGAUGAGUUCCUGUAUGAUGAGAGUUUAAAUUCCUACCACAGCUGUGGGGGUAUAAACCCCUAUACUCUUAUGGCAAGACUUGGGUCAGG